GGCCGCCACGUGGGCAGCGCCGCCACCCACGUGUUCCCCAUAAGCCCACGUGUUUUCCGUGGGUCGAUGUCGGUUUGGCCCGCCCGUGUAUCAUUGGAUCCGCAUACGCUGAGGUUUCGUGUCAGCGCCGCCGCCAGAGUUGGCCACCUGUUGCAUGAUGCUGGAGCUACUGCGGCUGUACUCGUCGGUGCUUACGGUCUUGUUUUGAGUUUUGAUAAUCUCUCUCAGAGAAAGCUUAUUCAACAGGUUCAUCUUAUUUAAUUUUCUACUGACAUUGUCGAAAAAACAAAAAAAAAAAGUAAUUGAAUUUUCUUUGUCAUGGAGAAAUUGUUGAUGAAAAUAAGAAUACAGAGACGAAUAUGAGUACUAAUUUAGAAUUUUGAUUUUUGAUUUUUUAAUUUUCAGUUGAUUCUGAAGCAUUGAACUUGUAGUCAUUUUGAUUGACACUUGGGAAAUAUCGAGUCUUUGUUUAGGAUUUAGAGCAUUUACAGGUCUUAAACUUUGAAUCAUCUGAUAAUAUUUUGUCAUUUAAAACAAUUUGUUGAUAAUCAUCUGUCUGUAAAGUGUACUGGCUCCAGCUAGUUGCUGGGCAAAUGACUGUAGGGUGACAUGCAAUCGUAGUUUCGUUCUUCAUAAUGAUCUUAAAAAGGAAAAAAAUAUAGAUGUAAUGAAGUAGCAAGUUGCAGUAGAACACAUGAGGAGGUAAUUUCGUUUCCUGUUAUUCUUGGAGCACAAGCAAAUUGUAUAAGCUGUACUAUGAAUGUGAAGUCAUAAAGAGGUCGCAUAAAAGGAUUAGUUAAGUGGUGGACUGGGAUUAGAAGCUCAUUUUUGGUGAAAUGAGGUUAGAGAAGCUUUGUUUAACUUCUUUCACUUUUAUAUUAUCAAUGCCAAGAGUUUGCUAACUAGCUUAAUUAAAGUGGGAGAGUGGGAGUGGUAGUAACGAAAUUUUGUUUGAAUUCUUGCUGUAUUCGUAAAUUGAUGCUGGUUUGAAAAUAUAAAAGGUAGAUAGUGACAUCUGAUAAAUCUUUAAUCAUUUCUUAAGUUUGUUUUGAAAGAUCCCUUAAUGUAGAGUAAUAUCUUUCAUGAUUUAAGAUUUUGCUUUCUUUUUGACAAAUCUUCUUCACUUUUCUGCCCCUUGGAACAGAGUUUAAGCAGAAAACUUGUACAUAUAUUGUCGGGAUUGUUAUUCAUGGUUUCAUGGCCAAUUUUCAGGUUCCCCUCUCGGUAUUUGGAAAUUUUAACAAAUUCAGUUUGUUUGUUAUAUAUGCCGCGUUUUUCUUAACUUUUCAAUCGAUUAUUUGAAUACUAGAAUAGCACCUCAACAGAGGCUCGCUACUUUGCCGCUUUGGUUCCUCUUGUGAAUUGCUUGAGACUUGUCAUUAACGGCCUCUCAUUGGUAAAGGAUGAUGGGCUCAUAAAAUCUGUUACUCGUGAAGGAAACCCAAAGUAAUUUUCCACAUUACCAUUAUCUUAAUGCUAUUGGAUUCAUUAUUAUUUGAUACAAUUGAGUUCGUUUGUAAUUUUGCUUCACUGUUCUUUUGCUUCAUUGUUCUUGUACUGGCAGGGAGUUGCUUAGAGGGCCAUUAUAUUAUGUUCUGAUGUUAAUUCUUUCUGCUCUUGUCUUUUGGCGUGAUUCUCCAGUUGGGGUGAUCUCUCUCUCGAUGAUGUGUGGGGGAGAUGGUAAUAUCUCGUCUUAUCCCAACAUAGUUCUCUUUCAUGCCUCUCAAUUACUUAUUUCUGCUUCAAUGAUUAAAAGGUGUUGCUGACAUUAUCGGAAGAAGAUUUGGGUCCAUGAAGAUCUUUUAUAAUGAGAAAAAAAGUUGGGCUGGCAGUAUAUCAAUGUUUGUUUUUGGAUUCUUAGUUUCCAUUGGGUGCGUUCAAGCCUCUGUGACCGACUAAUCUACAGUUUGCUUACUCAAUGGAUUUCGUCACUGACAUGAUAUUUAUCUUUACAAUAUAGGAUGCUGUACUUCUAUUCGAUUUUGGGAUAUUACCAACUGGAUUGGAUUGAGACAUUGCAACGGGUUGCUUUAGUGUCUCUAGUGGCGACAGUUAUCGAGUCUCUCCCGAUUACAGAGGUUGUAGAUGACAAUAUAUCUGUUCCUCUUGCAAGCAUGGUAGCAGCAUAUUUGAGUUUUGGUUAUUAGAUUGUACCUUUCUUUCCAUCUCUCUCUUUCUUUCUCAUUUCAUUGUUGUUCUUUGACAUUUUUUUUAAUUAAGUCCCUGCAUUAAAAUUGUAUUUGUAAUGAAUAUUUAUUUACUAUGAGUAUACGAUAGUAUGAUUUGCAGUCAAUGUAAAUAACCCCGAAUGCCUUGUAAAUCACUGCCUUUCUGUUGUUACACUGAAAAUUUUUACAGGUUAAAUGCUUCAAUUUUUAAGUCUCUAGAGUUUAGACUAACUUAGUUUUAUCUUUGAUUAUUGCUGAACUGCACAAAUGAAUUGAAAGGAUCCACUAUGGUGAGCUAUUUAUUCAUGAACGUGUCAAAAUAUUAUUGUUAUGUAUUAUAAAGUCAAUUUUGACCCUUUGUAGAAUUUGUUUACUAAUUAGGCCCCUUAGUAAUAAUUAUUGAUUUAUAAAGUCAAUUUUGACCCUUAGUAAUAAUCUGAAUCAAUGAUCAAGAUUUAUUUUGAGUUUUUAUUUUUUUAUUUCUCUCACAUAAUAAUUAUUGAUUCAGUGCUUAGUAAAAAUUUAGCUCAGCACUGAAUCCUUAUCCUAAAACGUUAGCGAAAAAGUACAUCAUUGAGGGAUAAAUGUGACUUUUUAAUUUUAAAAUGUAUAAAUUGAAAAGACUUAUGUAACGUAUUUAGCAGAAAAACUAACGACCAUCAGGUAAAUUUGGCUUGAAUUUGGGUUUCAAGUGUUAUUUGACCGAAGAAGAGGGGGCUGUAUGUAUUAUUUAUUCAAAUGUUAAUAAUAUUCAACAGAGAGAAGAAGAAAUCAAAUGAUGCGUAACAAAAUUCCGGGAUUAAAGCCUCUCCUUAAGCAAGCCAUACAAAGAGAUUAAAAUGCUUUCCUAACAACAUCACUUCCAUAACAACCACAUAAAUAAAUCUAGAGAAUGUUUUCAGAUUUUCAAGGAAAAAAAAGGAAAAAGAAACACAGCAAAAAAAAACAAAUAAUUGUGCUAUGGCAUCUAACAACAAUAUUUCCCUUUUCUCCUUCCAAAAUAUUGCUAGCAAGUCACCAACUUUUCUGGUUCUUGUUCUGGUUUCUGCAGAAGCAAUUGAUCACUUCUUUUUAUUGCAUUAUCAUUAUAACUAUUGUUAUAUAGAUUUCCAUUUUUUGGCUGUAAAUUAUAAUACUAAUGGAAGAUAUAACACAAGAACUGUGCUCAUCCAUCCACCCAUUUAAUCCUUUAGUGAGCACAUUUGUUCAGAUUUCAUUGAUGCUUGUUAUUGCCCACAUUUUUAACCUUAUCUUCAAACCCCUUGGUCAGCCAGGACCCAUUUCUCAAAUGCUGGUAAGAAACUAGCUCUAGCUAUCUACAUUUGAUUUGCUUUGAAUUAUAUGUACAGAUUCUCUUAUAUUAUCUAUGCAAAAGUUGAGACACUAACGCUUGCUCUAUGUUUUGCGUAUAUGAUGAUCAAGGCUGGACUAGUUCUUAGUCCAAGUUUUCUGUCCCAAAUCAACAAGAUUCGUUCGUUCUUUAUUCAAGAUCUAUCUGCAUUUUAUUAUCGAGUUUUCGCCUUCAUUAGCCGCAUACUUUUCAUGUUCUUAAUUGGUCUUGAAAUGGACACUGCUUACCUGAGAACGAACAUGGAUCUUGCAGCAACAAUUGCUUCUGGUGGCUUGCUAGUGAGCUUCGUCUUUGGCAUAAUCUUGACCUAUAUUUCCAGGUUUGUGUUAGAUAUUAAAGACAAUACCCCAGCAUUCUCUAUCACCAUCACUAUACUUCUAGCAAAUUCAGCAUCUCCAGUCGUUAUGCGCUUGAUUGAUGAACUCAAAUUCAACACUUCAGAACUUGGACGCUUGGCAUCUACUACCUCUUUAAUCAAUGAAGUUGGUUGCAUUAUAUACUACUCAUCGUUUGUCACUGUCUUAUCCUCUAAGAAUUUUGCAAAUGCAAUUUACUCAAUCAUUCUCACUGCUCUACUGAUCAUUAUUAACAUGUAUUUGGCCAAGUGGUUCGCGAGGUGGAACAAGGACUCAAAAUAUGUGUCGAAUGCUCAGGUGUUAUUUCUUUUGGUUCUUGUAGUAAGUCUAGCAUUUUCCAUUGAGGUACUUGGCUACAACAGCACCAUUACAGGAUUUCUUCUUGGUGUAUUUUUUCCAAGGGAUGGCAAAACAACUCGGACUCUGUUUAAAAAGCUUGCUUACUCUAUUCAUAACUUCGUGCUUCCAAUUUACUUUGGCUACAUGGGUUUCCAAUUCGAUAUCAGGGAUCUUCUUAAACAUUACCAAAACAUUCUUCUUGUUCUUCUUCUGCUAUUCUCAUGCAUUGCCAGCAGAAUGAUUGGAACCUUGUUUGUUUGUCAUCGUUUAAAGAUUCCAAGGAUUAAGGCUGUCCUACUUGCUUUCGUUCUCAAUUUGAAAGGCAAUUUUGAACUUAUACUCAUCGAUGUAGAGGCUGGACGUUCUGCGGUAAGUUUCUAUCUUUCUUUUUUUCACCUUAAUUUUUUUGACACAAACAAACAAUCUAGUAAACAACUUUGCCCACUAGAUGCUGAAAUAGUUGCACACAUUAUGUGAUGUGCAGGCUGGGCCCUGACCAACCCAAGCCGAUAAAGUUUAUAUAAACCCCUCUCUUGUUUAAAGUUUUUAUGUUAUGACCUACUCAAGUUCGUGGUUACUCGAUUAUGGUACCCAUUGAAACAAAAUCCUGACUUUGAAUUUUUUGUUAUCUUUUGUUGCAGACAUGGUGGAGUCCGAUGAUUCACCGCAUGCUCUUGAUAGUAGUAGUGCUUAACACUCUAAUUACAGGUCCCAUAAUUGCUUCGAUACUGAGAAGAAACGAAAAUUAUUUUGCUCACCGGAACACAUCAGUGGAGUCACUUGAUCCAGAAAGCGAGUUCAGGAUCCUCUCGUGUGCAUAUGAGCCCCGCCAUGCUUCCGGCCAGCUCGUGCUGAGCGCCUCCUUCGGCUCCUCCAUCAGCCCUUACUUAAUGCACUUAGUAGAGCUCCCGAAAAGGAGACGCAAAGCAAAGCUACUGUACAACCAGCUGGAAGACGGCGGCCAGUACAGCGACGAAGAGGACUACGGUGGCAACGACGUGCUGGAGAUCAACGAAGCCGUGGACUCCUUUACAGCUCAAACCCGCAUCAGGAUCAGCCAAGUGAAGAUCGUCAACACGUUUGCCAACAUGUAUGAAGAUGUGUGCAAUGCGGCGGAGGACUUUAGGGUUACGAUAAUUUUUCUGCCGUUUCACAAACACCAGAGGAUCGAUCAGAGGCUGGAGAAUAGCAAAGAGGGUUACAGGACAACGAACCAGAAGAUUCUGAGGCACGCGCCGUGCUCAGUUGGAGUGCUUGUGCAUAAAAACCAAACAGGGUUUCAGCUGCCUGUUGCUGGUAACAAUAGCUAUGAGAAUGUGGUUCAACAUGCAGCUAUGUUGUUUUUCGGAGGGGCCGAUGAUAGAGAGGCGCUGGCUUUGAGCAAAAGGAUUGGUAAAAACUCUAAUAUUAAUUUGACUGUCAUUAGGUUUUUGUAUGCUGCUAAGAAGGAGGAGGAGUCUUCGCCGUCGUCCCAGUCUUCGUCGGCGAGUAGCCCGAUGGUUGGUGAACCGUCGAGGAAGGUUCGGGUGUUAAGGUCUUUGUCGAGAAAUCAUGAGAUUGAGAUUGCUAAAGAUAACGUCUUUUUUGAGGAAUUUCGCCUCAGGUAAUUUAAUUAACUAAAAAUUAUAAGAUUCUAAAAAGGGAAAACCAUACUUACACUUAAGGCUAAUCGUUUUUAGUAUAUUAGCUAAGAUUUUGACGUUGACAAUCAUAUAUAUAUAUAUAACUUUAUUUAUAAUUAAGUAAACUUUUUUUUUCUUUUCAUUAGAUUUAGAAGACUAAAUUAGAAGAGGAUCUUAAUACUUUUCAAAAUUAGCUGAGCAUCAAGAUUUUAUUGUUUUUAAAAAAUAGUCGUAAAGACUCUUUUUUGAACAAUUAUGUCCAGAUAAAAUAUAUUUGAGUCAAUAUAAUCAAAAUAUAUAAUUGUCCUUAAAAAGGAUCCAUAUAAAUAUUUUGUCAAAUUAUAAGAGUGUUAGUGUCUUUUUCUUUUUGUAAAUGGGUUUAGAUCUUUAUAAAACUGACGUCAAAAUAUUUCUUAAUACUAAUUUUUUUUUUCAUUUUUUUGGUGGUUUAAUGUGAUUAAUUAGGUAUGUAACAUCAGGUGAAGUUGGACUGAUAGAAAGAUAUGUAAACAAUGGAAUAGAAACAUUACAGGUAUUAAGGGAAAUUAUGGAUAGCAUUGAAUUUUCCUUGUUUAUAGUAGGAAAAGGCAGCUAUGGGGGUUCGGUGAUGACCACCGGACUGAGUGAUUGGGAGGAGUGUCCGGAGCUCGGUCCGGUAGGAGAUCUCUUGGCUUCUUCUGAUCUUGACAUCAAAAGUUCAGUGUUGAUCAUCCAACAACAUCGGCAGUAUACAAAUAAUAGUAAUGAAGAUAGUGUUCAGGGUUAAUUAGGUUUUAUGACUUUAUUUUAUAUAUUAGAAAUGUUUCAAUCCAAAAUUUUAAAGUGCGGAAAGUCCGAGAAAAUAUAUAAAUCAUGCGGUUUAUGCGCGUUAGGUUUUAAACCUCUUAAACCCCAUGGUUUUAAAGUUUUAUCAGAUUUUUCUCGCACUUCAAAAUUCUGAACCAUAUAAGAUGUGUAUAUAUACACAAACUACAACAAAAUUAGAUAUUGGAAGAGUAGUUUGUCUAGCCAAAUAUUCUUUCUUUUGUUUGAGAUGUGGUUGAUUUUUCUUUCUUAAAUUUAUUUGAGAAUGUCAUAUUGCCAAUUAAUAUUUCUUUUCACCUGCCUCAUCCAACUGAGACGAAACAGCACACAGGUGCACCAAAUCCUAAUUACAAAUCUCCACUCCUUAUCUUUAGUUAGUACAAAACACUGAACAAUUUAUAUAUUCAGAUAAAUAUACUAAAGUUAGUGAUAACUCUUCUUGAAAAAAAAAAUAAUGGUAAUUCUUGGUGCGUAUAUCCACAAUAUCCAUAAAUGUUAAAAAUGAUUUUAGUACGUGUAGUUGUAUUUCUCAGUCACUUUGAAUUUAUUAAUAAUUAGAAUUGAUUACAGUUAAGCAACUCUAAUUUUUUUUUUAUAGUGAUGAAGAUCGAAGAAGAAUUGACAGAAUUAAUUUCCAUAUUGAUGUUCUUGUAUGUUACUUCUGACUGAUGUUACGAUUUCACAAAGAAUAAAUCGCAAUUCAAUCGGUAUUACCUAUUCACAAUCGGUAAUAAAAAAGAAAAAAAUAUGAAUAGAAUUAUAGAUUUUAGCCAUCCAUUAAAAAAAUAAAUUAAUAAAUGGAGAGAGAUUCUGAAUAAUGUAACAUGCUCUUCAUGCCAAAUAUGUAAAGGGAGGCUGAGGCAUGCCAAUCUACGUAUAAAAGGAAUAAUACUAUGUUUAUUUAGUUAAGAUACUUAAUUUGUAUAUUAAUUGAUAUGUUACUAAUAAAAAUUCAUCAUUUAAAUAUGAAGUGAUAAAAUUUAAUAAUUAAUUAUCAUUUAAGCCACUCAAAUAAUGCCACAUCUAAUAAUUUUUUUUUAGAUUUCAUAUUUCUUGAAACAACAUAUCUGAAAAAUGGUGCUGACAUAUUCAAGUUAAUUAGAUUAAAAACUUACCAAGUUAAUUAAAUUGAGAAUUACAAGAACCACAAAAAGAAGAAAAAAAAUUAACUGCAAUGAUAAAAAUUAAAAAGAAAAAGAAAAAGAGCUUACCGUUAGGUGAGAUUGAUUAAUGCUCCUAGCUUAUCUAGACAACAAACAAAAAGAAAAUUGAGAGACAGCAAAGAAGGAUAAGAAAUAACAAAAAGAUAAUCAAGGCCGCCUUGGAAAGUGGAGAACAAGAGAAGCGAGGCUUAGCGAAGAGAAAGAAAGAGUGGAAAUGAGGAGGGAAAAAGAAAUUAGGACUGGCUGGCUAAUUUUUUAUUGUCACUUCUAGAGUUUGUCUUAGGGAUGGUAAAAUUCUCUACGGGUUUGGGAUUUUAUAGAACCCCACCCCAAAUGAGGAAAUUUUUGAAUAAUUUUUGGGAAAUGGGGUGUGAAGUGGGGAAAAAAUAAUCCCUAAAUUUUUAACGGCGUGGGGUUUGGUUUUGUACUCCCCACCCCCACCCCCAUCCCCAUCCCCAUCCCAAUCCUCAAUAUAUACAAAUAUGUUUUUAAUUCUUAUUUAAUAAUUUUUAUUUUAUCAAUUAUAAUGUCAAUUAAUAAUUUUUUUAAUAUUUUUAUCUAAUAUAAACAGGCUAUGACUAAAAGAAAUCCCUACAAUAUAAUUCUUUUUCAACUCUAAACAUUAUUAUAUUUCUUUUAUCUUUUAAGGUGCUGCUCUCUUCAAACAUUUUUCAGUUUUGAUUAAGAUAUUGUUUCAAACUUUUAGAAAUUUUUGAAAAUAAUUUAAAUACUUUAUAAUACGGUAAUGAUUUUAUUUUAAGUCUCUAAUUUUUAAUUUACUAAAAUCAUAUAUCUAUACCUAUUAUAAAAUAGGUAAAUGGGGAAUGAGGUGGGGAUGAGGAAAUCAUUCCCCAUAUGCGGAUUCCCCAUUCCCACCCCACUAAAUUAAUUGGAGAAUGAGGUGGGGAAUGGAGGCAAAAUUUUUUAAUGGGGUAAGCCUCCCCACCCCUACCCCACCCGCACCCCACCCAACUCCAUUGCCAUCCCUAGUUUGUCUUAGUAUCAUUUAGGGAAAAUAUCUACCGUCCAUCUGUUUUUUCCAACUUUUUCAAAAAUACACAAUUCUUUUUUCUUUUUUGCUGGAAUCUACCUAAAGUUACAUUUUGUUUCACUUUUCCACUUCCGUUUGGAAUCUGUUAAGAAAACUUACGGAAACUUAAAAAAAUGACUAUUUUACCCCCCAAAACGAAAAUAACAAUUUCACCUUAAAAAUUACCAAAAAAAAUCAAAUUAAAUCUAAAUAUUUUCCCCAUCGGUCAACAAAGAAAUUAAUUCCACAACCAUCAAAUGCAGGUUUUUUUUUUUUUAAAUAUGUCUGUAAUUAGAAUGCUAAAUUAUAAUGUAGUAUUAAAAAUAGCCUAAUCUUGCAAACCAUCAAUUGAAUUUAAAAUAAGUAGCGUUUUAUUAUUCAUUGAGUUAUAAUCUCUAGUAGUUAAGAUUUUUUUGUACUUCAUUAACGUACCAAUAAUGAUAUUUAUCAUUAAAUCUUAUUAUUUUUGGCAUUUUUAGGGUGAAAUUGUAAUUUUCGUUUUGGGGGGUAAAAUUGUUAUUUUUUUAGGUUUCCGUUAGUUUUCUUAACUGAUUCCAAACGGAAGUGGAAAAGUGAAACAAAAUGUAACUUUAGGUGGAUUCCAGCAAAAAAAAAAAAAGAAUUGUGUAUUUUUGAAAAAGUUAGAAAAAAUGGGUGGACGGUGGAUAUUUUUUCUAUAAUUUAUUAUUAUUAAAUUAGCCUUCAAAUUUUAAGAUUUUUUUCAUACAAAUGUAAACAUAAAUAAGUAAUUUAAUUGAAAAAAUAAUAAACGAAUCUUAAAACAAAUGGACCAUAUCCGAUUCGUUUAUAACCAAUUUAUUAAAUGGAUAAAAGAAUCUAUAUCCUCAAACUUGAAUUCAAUUCAUUUAUUUAGUAAAUCAAAUUUAUCCAUUUAUUAAACAAAUUAAUUUUUUUUCAAAUUCAAACCCAUUUAAUUUUCAUCAAAUUGAAUUGAAUAAACAAGCCCUAACCUAGAUUGUCAUCGCUAAUUAAAAUUAGUGACAUGUAAAAUCAACUUUAAAUAUCUACCCACGUUAUUGGUAUUUAGCUAAAAGAGUUGGAAUAAGAUUAUUUGCAGUUUUCUUUUUAACAUUCACUUAAAUUAAAAUAUUUUCUCAUCCAAAUAUUAUCUAUGUUUAUUAUUUACAAAUAUGAUGAAACGAUAAAUUUUGGUUACUCCUCUUGUGAACUGAAAACCUUCAAAUUACUCUCUUACUUUUAAAAACAUUAAAUUAUCCCCAAAAACUAGUUAAGUUUAAUGAUUUACCGUUGUUGACUUGUUAAAAUAUGAAAAUAUUCAUUUUUAACAGUUUCGUUAACUAACGAUUUUAACAUUAAAAAAACCAGCACUGAUAUUCUCACACCAAUAAGCACCACAGUUAGCACAAAACGGUUCGUUUUGUGCUAACUAUAAAACAUUUAACUGUAGCUUAAAAACGCAGAUUCAUUUUGCUCAAACGCAGACCACACACGCGCUCGAAUUUCUGAAACGCAAAUGCAAACUACAAACACACUCAUCUCACUGGAGCACAGCACUCUCUCUCACCGUGGGUCUCUCCACAUAUAGCUUGGCUAUCAGUUGUUUCUCUCCCAACCCCGUGAAUUGCAUUCUGACGGCACUUCUGGAAUUUGAGACCUAGCUGCAGCUUCACUCUGUCGGUAUGAAUUUAUGUUAAUUUUACUGAUUAUUAUACAAGAAAAUAUAUGCAUAUGAGUAGAGCCGGCCAUGAAUUAUUUUGAUUGUUUGAGAAAAUUUUGCUGAUCAUGAAUUAUUACAGUGAGUUAGCUUAGUUUUGUGAAUUAUUUUGUUCUUGAAAUUAGUUUUGUUAAUGUGAAUUAUUUUUAUAUUGUUGUCGUGAAUUAUGCGAUGAGACUGUAUGCGAUGGAUCUUCAUUAUUUGAUUGAAAUUUCAGGCAGCCAUGUUAUAUCUAAGUCAAGGAAAAGUAGAUGUCAGCAUUGCACUCCUUGUGCAUAUAAAUCUUUUAAUAGCCUUAUUGAAACAUGAGAACUGAUCAUUACCAAAUAAUAUAUGCUCUCUCAAUUUUGUAUCAAGCUAAAAAGAAUCCCUAUCCAGAGAUGCAUCAAAUGGAAUUACUUGCAAAUAAAUCAUCUCAAGGCCCUUAAAAUCUGAUAUGCCUCUAUAAAUGGCUAAUGAUUUUACAAAGCACACAAAUCUUAGAUCAACAAAUGACAUCUAACCAAUAACGAGCAUCAAUAAUUGCCAUGUGUAAUCGGCAAUUUGCUGACUUCAUUAUUCCGUUAUUAAUGUAUAAUUAAGUAACACCUAUGUUAAAUGGUUUUGUUAAUGUGAAUUAUUUUCAUAUUGUUGUCGUGAAUUAUUUUGUUUUUGAUAAUAUAAAUUUCCAUUUUGAUGAUAUGAAUUAUUUUCAUUUCGUAUAAAUAAAGAAUAUGGAAAAUACCAUCGAAGACAUUGAGGAGUUGGAGAAAAUUGAGGAGGAGGACGAGCCAAUGAUUGGGAUGUCUUUUAAUACCGAUACUGAAAUGUUUAUGUACUUCAAAGAGUAUGGUAAAAAAAAAGGAUUUCCAGUUAUGCGGAGAAGUAGUAGAAAGGAUAGUGAUGGGAUACUUAGAAAUGUGUCUUUUGCUUGUGGCCGAAGCGGGGAGACAAGAAGCAAAUCUACUAAUAUCUUAAAGCCGCAACCUAAUAUAAAGACAGGCUGCAGUGCUAGAUUAGGAGCUGGUUUAGGGGAUGAUGGAAAGUGGACGAUUCGAAGCAUAAAUCUUGAACACAACCAUCCAUUGUUGACUCCAACGAAGUCAAGGCUUUUUCGAUGCAAUCGUAGCCUCAAUGCACAUGCAAAAAAGAAACUUGAUAUAAAUGAUCGAGCGGGAAUCAAAUUGUCCAAAAAUUAUCAGUCACUUGUUAUUGAGGCCGGUGGACAUGAAAACGUGACAUUUAUAGAGAGAGAUUGUAGAAAUCAUAUUCAGAAAGAAAGAAGAUUACGGCUUGGAGAUGGGGAUGCUGCUGCUCUUCAGAAUUAUUUUAUGAAAGUGCAAGCGGAAGAUAAUAGAUUUUUCUUUAGUAUGCAAGUGGAUGAUGAGGGCCGACUAAAAAAUAUUUUUUGGGCUGAGCCAAAAAAUAGGGAAGCCUACAAAGAGUUUGGAGACGUUGUUACAUUUGACACUACAUAUCUUACAAAUAAGUAUGACAUGCCAUUCGCUCCAUUUGUAGGAGUUAAUCAUCAUGGUCAUUCUAUUUUGUUUGGGUGUGGAUUGAUUUCAAACAAAGACAUUGAGACAUUCACAUGGUUAUUUCGAACAUGGUUAUCCUGCAUGUCUAAUUCAGCUCCUAUUGGAAUUAUUACAGACCAAGACAAGGCAAUGAAAGCUGCAAUUGAGAACGUUUUCCCCAAUACUCGACAUCGGUGGUGUUUAUGGCAUAUACUUAAGAAGAUUCCAGAGAAGCUGGGGGGCUAUAAAGAAUAUCGCGACAUUAGUAAUGUGUUGCAUUGUGCUGUUUAUGACUCUCAAAGUUCUGCAAAAUUUGAGGAAACUUGGCACCAUAUGAUUGUAGAAUUUGAAUUGGGGGGAAAUGAAUGGUUACGGGGUUUAUACAAUGAGCGGCAUCGUUGGGUGCCUUGUUAUCUAAAAAACAGUUUUUGGGCAGGAAUGUCAACUACUCAGCGCAGUGAGAGUAUGAAUGCAUUUUUUGAUGGUUAUGUUAACUCGAAAACUACUUUGAAGCAGUUUGUGGAGCAAUAUAGCAAUGCAUUAAAGAAUAAAGCUCAGAAAGAAGUUGAAGAAGAUGCUCGGUGUUCUUCCCAUCAAUUGCCAUGUGUAACAUCUUAUGCGAUGGAGAAGCAAAUCCGAGAUGUGUACACAAUUUCGAAAUUUCAAGAAUUUCAACAAGAGUUGGUUGGAAAAAUGUAUUGCGAAUUUGUCAAUUCCAUGGGUUGUGAAUAUAUAGUUAGAGAGGAUGUCAAAGUUGAUACAUGGAAAAAAAGGACCUUUUUUGAAGUAUAUUGUGAUAAAGAAAAUGGUGAAAUCCAUUGUAGUUGUUCAAGGUUCCAAUUCAGAGGAAUUCUCUGUAGGCAUGCUAUUACGAUCAUGAUACGCAACGACAUGGAAGUACUUCCAGAAAAGUUUAUCCUACGGAGAUGGAGAAAAGAUGUGUGGAGAUGCCACAGUAGGGUGAAAACCAGUCAUGAGCUGCAUAGCUGCACAGGAUGAACAAAAACGAUACGAGAAGAUGUGUGUCAGUUUUGCAGAGGUUGCAAAUGUGGCUGCAAAAGAUGUGGAAAGUUAUAAUCUUGUUUUGAAUUGGAUUGAGAAGGUACGGAUAGAUCUACCGGAAACGAUUCAGUGCGGAAGAAACGAUGUAACUAUUGUUACAGGCCAAGGAAGUUGUAGUAAUAGUGUCAGAAUUGAAAUGCAUGAUGUUGAGACAGUACGUGAUCCAGUCGUUAAGCGUCGUAAAGGUCGUCCACCUUGUCAAAGAAAAAAGUCGACUAAAUUUUCAAAAUCAGCGCAUUCUAAUGCAAAGGUUAGUUUUAAAGUAAAAUAAUUAUAGUAAAAUAAUUUAUUAAUGGUGCUCAAAUGUUGGUUUUGUUGACUUUGCAGGAUGGACAUGUAAGCGAUCAAGUGGCAACUAUGAUUCCAACAUUUCAAAAUCUUCAACAAAGUUCCGUUGAUAGGAAUAUGUACCCACAUGGAGUUAUGGACUAUUCUAAUGUAAGUUUUUCACACUUUAUGCGCAAUAUUUAUAAGUAUUAUCAUUUGGUUCAAGUUUCAUUAAUAUAUGUUUGUUUUAGGGCCUUAUGAACUUACAUCAUAUAACUGGAGAUAAUGUUUAUCCAACAGUUACACAAAAUUCUAGCACGGUAAGUAGUGAUAAAAUUUGUAUUUGCUCAUCUUAUGUAAUUUAGUAUUUGUUCAUUUAAUGUACUUUAACAUCUUUAUUAUAACAAGAUGUUUAUUUUUUUAUAAUAGCACCCACAACUCCAGCCCCAAGUGCAUGGACAUUUUCAGCAGCUGCUUUUUCAUCAAAAUAAUGAAUAUGGAGUUAAUAGGGAGUUUGGAAGUGAUUUCGAAGAAUAGCAUUUUCGGUGCAAUCAUUGAGCAUGUAUCAGUUUGAUAUAUAGACUAUUUAUCCGCUAGUCAUGUGGCUGCUGGUUUGAUUCAGACUCUUUUACCUGCAAUCAGGGUUGGACUUGCUUUCUUGGUGAUGCUUGCUAUUAUGUCCUUUAAAGGAUGUGUGUUUUUGGUGGCUGUUGCUGGUCAUACUUUUGGAUUUUUUAUUUUUGGCAGCAUGGUUUUUUAUAAAUCACACCCCCUCCAUGAGCUGUUGAUACAAUUAAUGGCUGAUUACUAAGAGUUAAGUAUGUUCUUGAGUUUGGCUUUGUAGUUUAUCUUGUAACUCUUAAUUUCUGUAGAAACUGAAUAUGAGAAAUUUAAUUGCAUAUGUUGCAAACGUGGUUAUGCGGAAGAGAAAUUUAUUUGUACAAUGCAAUUGUUAAUCUACUGAGUAGCAACAUUUUCUUGUUUGUACAUGGAGGUCUUGUUGAAUAAUAUCUUCAUUCGUAGCAACAGAUGCUUGGCUGCAGUAAAUUUGUUAUACGAAGAUAAUCACUUUAAUAUCUGAUGCUGUGAAAUCAGCAAUGGUGGCGAGCUUUAUGCAUAAUUACUGAUGCCUUAUUUAAUUUUUUUUUUAUUUUUUCCCCCUAAUUUUUCUCUUUUAUCUUUAAAUUAUUGCCUACAUCACAUGUAUAUUUGCUUACAUUCGUAACACCUGUAAUUGUUUUUUUUUUAAUAUCAUGUUAAGUGUAUACAAUAUGCUAUGUACUUGUUACAUAAAUAAUUAAUUUCCAAGAGAAAUAAUUAACAUUCAUUUCAUGGAAUAUAUUAGUUAAGUAUACAAUUUAAAAUAAUACAUAUUACAAUUGUUAUAAUUAUUUGUGGAACAUAUUUUACAAUAAGACUUAGAUCUUCAUGUGGUUGUCUUUGCCGAACUUCUUUCUCAAACAACUGAAAUUUAAGAGACAAGCACUCCAUUUGAUGCCCCAGACUACGAACUUCUCCUAAUAAGAUGUCAAUUUUGUUCUCGUUCAUGCUUCGAUCUUCCAUCCCUCCAAAGUCAUUACAUUCACUACUUUUCCAAUUAUCAUCCCAUUCAAAAGCCCCACAUCCUUUGCACUUCCAAAACUUACGAUUCGGAUUUUCUCUCGUCCGUGAAAUUCGUAAGACCUUAUUACUAUUGCUGCAUUUUUCACAAGCUUUCACCUGUGUUCGAUUUUCACUUGUGCUGCUACAAGACAUAAUGAUUGAACAAUUUCUCUACAAUAUAAACAAAUAGCACAAUCAUUGUACCACAAAUAUAUACAACACAUAAUGGCAAUUCCCAGCACAAAGUUAUAAUAAUUCUUUUAUCAUCCAAUUUCCAGCACAAAGCCAUCUCAAUUAGCCCCUCAGACUACCAAAAAUGCAACCCAAAUCAACCCAUCCGAACUAUAUAUCAACAUAAUUUAACAAUUUCCAGGAACAAGUUUUAACAGCAGAUAAAAUUCUAACAACAACUCAUACCAAAAUCAGCAACUCAUCAAUCCCAAAUCAACCUAUCCGAACUAUAUAUCAACAUAAUUUAACAAUUUCCAGCAGCAAGUUUUAACAGCAGAUAAAAUUCCAACAACAACUUAUCCCAAAAUCAGCAACUCAUCAAUCCCAAAUUAACCUAUCCGAACUAUAUAUCAACAGAAUUUAACAAUUUUCAGCAUCAAAUUUUAACAGCAGAUAACUUCCAACAACAAUUUGUGAUAACAAUUUCCAGCAGCAAAUUAAACCAAUUACCUCCACGAAUUGAUUACCCAACGAGAUGCGUGAGAGAAACCCAACGAGAUGCGUGAGAGAGAUCGACGAAAAGAGAAAGCCGAAGGAGAGAGUAGCGAGAUGCGCGCGAGGCCGGAUGAGAGAGACCCACGGUGAGAAAGAGAGCCACAGCCGAAGAGAGACCCACGGAGAGAGAGAGAGCCACAGCCGAAGAGAGACCCACGCUCGAGAGAGAGAUCCACAGCCGAAUAGAGACUCACGCUCGAGAGAGAAAGAGAGAAAAUCGAAGGAGAGAGCAAUCCCACGAUCCGUUUGGUGAGGCGAGUGUGUGAGGAGAGUGUGUUAGUUUUGAAGCACAGUAUUUUGUUUUAUAGUUAGCACAAAACGAACCGUUUUGUGCUAACUGUGGUGCUAAGCGUGGUGCGUUUCUCAUUUUCCUAAAAAAACACUAUUUGAAUUAAUAAAAUAACUUAAUAAAGAUGACGAAAUCCUUAAAGUUGGCCGGGCCCCCGGGGGGGGGGGGGAGGGGCGCAGGGGGAAGACUUAUCUCUCCUAAUUUUAUCUCCACCAAAUCAGAAUCACAUUAAAACCUAAUUGAAAAUUUGAAAUACCCAUAAUAUCAAUUGAUUGGCAUGGCUGCAUGUGGCAAAGGAUUUGGUUGCCUGGGCCGCACGCGGCUAUGAAUUUGGUUGCGGUGGUUUGGUUUCCAUGGCCGUGCUCGACCAAAGGGUUGGCUGUCUUGGCAUGCUUAGUAUCCAUGGGUGUAAAAUGAAAUUUUUUUAAUGGGUUUAUACUAUAAAUAUUUUAAAUAUUUAUGCGUAUUUUUAAAAAUUUAAAAAGAUUGGGGCCCAUAAAUAUUAGCCGACACAGAGACUUGACCUUUUUUUUAUUAAUUGUUUAUUUUGUUUUUUUUGGGUAAAGAAAAACGAGUCUAGCAAGAGCUAAAGCUAAAACAAAACGAGGGAACGCAGCCCCCGAACUAUCACUGCGCAAGUAAACAUCAAUAUCGGGGGGAGGGUAGGUCAAACAUGGAGCCCAAGAGGGUGAGAGUAUGAAAGUAGCAAGGAAAUCUGCUGCGAAAUUGGCCUUCCGAUAUAUGUGAUGCACUGAAACUUGCCAAUUGCGAGAGAGGAGCUCCCGGUUGCCAUUAACGAGAGAAGAUGAUGCAUUAGCGGACAGAGUCUGACUUUGGAUAAGUUGUGUAACACAUAAACUGUCAACCUCCACAAUCAACAGUCGAAUGCCCUUGUUCCAAGCCAGAAUGAGUCCCUGAUACAUGCCCCAAAGCUCAACAUUUGUGAUUGAACUCAUCCCAAUAUUAAUGCUGAAACCUGCUAUCCACCUCCCAUGAACAUCUCUAAUUAAACCUCCAGCCGAAGCUAAACUCGAUGCCUUACGAGCUCCAUCCGUAUUUAACUUAUACGCAGUCCAAACCGGGGGCAGCCAACCAAAAUAUUAGUUGUUUAUUAAGAGAAUGUACAAAUACUAUUUUACUCUUUUGACCGUUAAAGAUAAUAUAGAGAUAAUGAUUUUUUAGGGUAAUUUGAUAUUUUUAAAAGUAAGAGGGACAAUUUAAAAAUUGUUAGUUCAUGAAGGGAUAAUCUGAAAUUAAGCCGAGAUGAAAUUAUUUUUUGCAUGAUUUUUUAAUGUCUUGGUGGCUUGCUUCACAGAAGGAAUUUUUAUUAGACAUGAUCUAGAAAGUUAGUAAAUAUUUAUGAUGUUUGUCAGAGUAACCCUUAUCUAACCAAAUAGUUUAAAUCCAAGAAUCUAGCAAAAAUCUAUUCCAUAUCCCCAUUUUUCAAUUUGGCUUGUCUUAUGACGUUUGGUUUGUUUGAUCAUGUUUUGAAGACAUGGCAGUUGAAUCCUGUAAAGGCGGAUAACAAGAGUAAGUUUGUAUCAAAAGCUCUCGUUUCUUUUCAUGUCAUUAUGGAGAGUACUCUUUGUCUUAUAAGUUUCCCGUUGAAAUCUCUUUGAGGAAUAUAUAAUCUGAUUUCGUAGGGGAAACUGGGAAUUUAUUGAAUUGUAUUACGUAUGGUGCAAUAUUCCCUCUAUAAUUUUGGAUGAUUAGUAAAUGCUUCUCGUCCAUGCAUCUAGCUAAAAUUUUUAGUUGAUUGAAAAUUGUUUCUAUCUUUUCAGGGUUUUGUAUGAUUUGGCCAAACAAUUAAUUUUCAAUAAUUUCAAAUUAUUUUCAGUGACAUGCCAUUUUUUUUCUCCACUGAUAGCUCGUCACUUGUACAGUUUUAACUAUACAGUUAAUUAUGAUACAGAAAAGACGUUUGUUAGAAGAUGAAGCUCGCUUCUACACCGCAGAAGUUGCAGAUGCUCUUGAAUAUAAACAUAGUGUGGGAUUGAUACGUCGAGAUAUUAAGGUAUUUUCUCAACAGGUGAGAACUUUUUUAUUUACAUCCAAAAACUGCUAAUGCCUCUUAAUUGGCAGCCACAGAACUUACUUCUUACAGCUGAUGGACAUAUCAAAAUUGCUGAUUUUGGGAGUGUCUAGCCCGUGCAGAUGAUGAGGCAUGAACCUUUGUUGGGGCAGCUGCAUAUGGGGCUAAGGGACUUUUCUUUCUCUUCAGAAUGAGCUAUGCUCGUGAAUGAGACUGACUGAGUGUACAGCUUGGAUGAAAUCUUUUUUGGUUUUACUGAUUGCUUCUUAGUUCCAUGAGACAAACACUUUUGCUCUUCUUGAACAUAUUUAAAUAGAAGUGACCUUUGGGUGGGCCCUUGGCUGCACCUUUUUUCCAAAUGCUUUCAGGAACUUCGCCUUUCAAAGAUGGUAGUGAAUGGCAUAUAUUUCAAAGAAUUACAGCCGGAGAUAUUGGCUUGUUCCAUUGCCAAAUGUGGCACAAUACUUAUGCUUGAACUAGAAUUCCAUCAGGCUUAACAUUAAAAGGUAUUACUCUGUAGAUUUACGGAUUAGUGCCACUGAUAUGCGGUGGAGGUCUUUAACAGAGGACUAUGGAGUGAGGCACAGGUAAGAUUAUUGCACCUUAAAUCAGAGGCGAAUUUUUAUUACUGUCGUAGGAACAACUUAUUAACAUGCACAUUUCCUUUUUUUUUUUUUUUUUAUUGUUGGAGUUUCUAUUGAUAUAAAAUAAUAACGUAGUAUCACAUUCCCAGCUUAAACAGUAAUUAAUCGGAUGAUUUAUGGUAUGAUCCUUACAUCCUAGAUUUGGAUUGCAUAUAGUCGGCUUCAUAGUUCAUACUGUGUCAGACAUAUAAAGAGACAGCUAUUACCUAUAUUUCUAGUGUGGUCAUGCCUUUUGCAUUAUCAUUAGAUCGUGCCUGAAUUCUAGUUGCUGCUAGCAUGUUCAGUUUCUCAGUGCAUGCGAUUGGUAAUACAUAAACAAAAUCGGAUACGUUUGCUUCAGGUAACUAUAUUUGAUAAUGAUAGGUGCUGCAGUUUCCUGAGCCGAAAAAAUAAAAAAGAUAAAAGACGACCCUAAGAAAUAGUCGAUGGUUAUGCUAACGGUGGAAAAAAAAAAAAAUAUUCAAAGCAGACCAAUCUGCUGGUUAAAGAAUUGAUUAUGGAAAGUGAGAUAGAAAGUGCAGAAACAAAAUGAAAUGCUUGAAAGACGUUGAAGAGUGCAUGAGUGGGAGAUUGGCUGUAUAAAAUCAUCAUUUUCCAAUUGAAACUGUAUAAUCUAGCUUCCAAGAAUAAGAACAAUAUCGAGCGCAACAUGUGAGAGUGAUCAGUUCCCAAGCAAUAUUCUAUUAUAUUAUAAGUGCUGUGCGAUUAACAGGUUCAAAUAAAAAACAACAGUGGCAACUUAGUAGCCAUCAGAGCUGCAACUCCUCUCUUGACAAGCGAAUGCAGCAGAAGAUAGAAAGUACAGAAACAAAAUGAAAUGCUUGAAAGACAUUGAAGAGUGCAUGAGUAGGAGAUUGGCUUUAUAAAAUCAUCAUAAGGCUCAUAUAAUUGAAAAAAAAUUAAUUAUUAUCACUUUCAGAAAAGAAAAAUCUUUACGUGCCACAUCCAAUAACUCUGUUGAUCUCUUAACUUUGCUGCCGUAUGAGGUUAAGUUCUAAGAUGCUUCCUUCUUACUGUUUCUUUUAGAAAUUCCAUUGUAUGAUACAAUCAUUUUGUCGAUUGGGCUAUUCUUGUGAAACAAAGAUCCGAUAGGCAUUGUUAUUUAAAUUAGCAAAAUUGAUUUAUAAGGACAGAAACAAUUUUUAUCAAUACACUCUAAAGUGUCUCGGUUUUUUGUAACUGUCCCAAUAGAAAUUUUCAACUAUAUUUUCCUUUUACAAGUAGAACCUUUAGCCAAAAUAAUAAUAAUAAUGAUUGUUUAAUGUAAAUGAAUAACUAAAGCUCCAUCCGUCCUUUCUUGGGAUAGCCUUCACCAUUACUGUCGGUUUCCAACUAGUACCAAAACAGAUCUAUUAUUAAGAUUGAUUCACUCUCUGACUUAGUAACUUUCUCCAGCUUUACUCUCUUUCUCUAAUUUUAUAGAACUAGAAUACAUAGAUUACAAAUGCAAAAGGAGAAUGCUCAUUCACUGAAAAGAAACGCACAAGCACACCACCAUCACAAAUCAAGAUGUGAAUAGAACAACAACCCCCAUGCCUAAAGGAGGAAAAACAUCCAUCAAAAAUCAGUUUCUUAAUAAUAUUUUUUGUGCUACAUUACAUAAUGUGAAAUUAUGAAUCAUCCCUCUUUAAUUUAUCUUGUUAUAAAAAAUAAUACAAAAUUUUGAAUUUAUUUAAUUUUUCACCCCAAAUUUUAAUUUGUAUCAAUUGUCUAUAAAAACAUUAACUUCUGUUUAUGCAUAACGAUGUCCUAAGUGUAUUUUAGACCUGUAACAUUCUUAAUAAAAUAUAAAUAAAAAAAUUAUUAGUCAUCCAUUCUAAAUUUACCUUGUUACAAUAUAUAUAUAUAUAUAAAGUACUGUUCCAAUCCAGAACAUUGUGCCGAAAGGCUGGUGGCCUUUGAAUUGAAAUCCAAAGGCACCUGCGCAUGGUGGGCCCUACCAUGUGCAGCCAACAAAAAAAAUAAAAAAUAAAAAAAAGUCACCAGGGGCCGUUGGAUUAAUAGCUUCCCGGACAGUGAUCCAAUCCGGAAGUUUCGGAUUGGAUCACUGUUAUAUAUAUAUAUAUAUAUAUAUAUAUAUAUAUAUAUAUAGACACACACACACCCCUAAAUUUUGCUAUAUUUAUGCAUUUACUGUCCUUCCAGUAUAGAUAUCUAAUGUAUUCUUGUGGUUAAUACGAGUGUUAUCAUUAGGACUGCAAUGUUCUGAAUCUGCCUUCUCAAUAUGUGUUAUUUCACGUCCCCGUCAUAUUGUAUGCCAUCUGCCUUAGCUUGUUUUAGCUUCCUUAAAAGCUCUUUCAACUUCUUAUCUCUGCCUCCAAAUUCUCUUCAGCUCCAUGAUUGAAGCUGGGCUAAAGAGCUUCUAGCAAUUGUUUUGAAUUUCUGCACAGGGCUGGUUUCCAUGUUUGUGUUCCAUUUAAACGACUCCGACUUCACUAUGUUUUUGCAUUCCUCUUAGGAGCUCCACAUAUCCUCAUAGUGAACUCUAUUACUCUUCCUUUCUCUGACUUCCAGCAUAAUCGGGCAGUGAAUUAGGACUGCAAUGUUGGUGUAAGUGCAAUCAACUUGACUUCCCCACAAAAAUGCAAAGCACAAUAAUUGCAAUGUCUUGCAAUUUUGUUCUUUUUGCAAUUCUGUGAAAAUCUUCUAUCCCUAACUUGUAUCAUUGUAUUUAUCAUGAACAAUUUCGUGGUAUGUGAGUCAUGUCUUACUCUUUGAAUUACAUACAGAUGGGGUUUCAUCUGUGGGCAACCGGUGAAGAGAGUGUAACAUCUCAUUCCGUUCCCAUCUGACAAGAUGCGGCUUCCGGGUUCAGCUCAGAUUGCUCUGACACAUGCUUGAUUAAGAUGUACAAAGCCUUCAUUGGUCACUGCAAUUUGUAGAGCCAGCUUGGUUUGAACAUUUACAAUAUCUGAGGAACUCAUUUUGCUAGCCUAUGCUCCCAAGAUCUGCAGAGAUCAUCAAGCAAGGCAAUGGUUUCUAUCCAAAAUCUUUCUUGGAUACUUCAGUUGGGAAUCGGGUAUGUGAACAAAGAACAAGUUGUCCCGUGAGCAUGUUUUCUUCAUUUCCCAGUUUUCUUAAUUCGGAAUAUUAAUGGAGUGACUAUUCUAUUUUCAUUCCUGUCACAUCAUUGGUGUUGGACGUUUUUGAAACAUAAAGUAGGGCAGAUGGUGGGAAGCCUGGAAUGGCCAUUCACUCCCUAACUUUAAGCUGUGAAAUACAUAGAUUACAAAUCCAGGAGUAGAAUAUUCAUUGAUUGAAAAGAUACAGAGGCAAAACACAACCAUCAAAAAUCAAGAUGUAAAUGGAAUAAGCAUCCCCAUACUUAAAAGAAGGAAAAACCAUGAAAAAUAUUUGUUAACAAGACCAAAAUAAAAAUAAAAAUUACUUCAUCGCGCAAGUACUUUUUUUUUGGGAAUAAUUAACAUAAUAUGUACCAUCAAUUCUCCCACAAUCUAUCAAACUCCAGUAACUCCUCAGGUUUUAAUCCUUUUGUUACUACCAUACAUAAAAAAUGCCUGUGUAAUCCUCACAGAAUGGUUCGGAAACGCCCUUACAAACUGCUUAUAUUCUUUACUGAAAGCUAUCUCCUCCAUGUUUUCGACAAUGAAGUCCAACACUGCCUCUAACAAUGCUCUAUGGGAACAGCCUACUGCAUUUUUGAAAGCAUUAAGAGCAUUUGAUGGUUUCAACGACGAAAGGAUAUGGUGAGCACAAAACUCGGAUAAGUACAGGAUGUCGAAAUUCCAGGCUGAAAAAAAUAAUACAGCAAUAUGUUUCUCGGUCCUCGCCGGAUCCAAGCUACCAUGGUAAAGAAAAUCUAGAAGAGCCUCAAGUUCUUCACGACUUAUAGGGAGAUUGACAAUCUCUGUCUCACACGAUGAAGCCCCAAGCGACCAAUACUUUCUCAUUAGUUGAGCAUCGAAAGUCGGUGGCGGGUGAACCAAGAUAGUUGAUCUAGCAUACUGCAUAACACAAAAGAACAAUAUCAUUUAGCAAAUACGCAUAGAUUUCUACCUAAAAAAUUUGCUUAAAAUUGCUCACUCUAUGCUUGCAUAUGUAUUAGCAAUGAUGAUUCCAAAGUCUAGAUUCCUACUUAAUAAAAUCAUUGACAAUGUCGUGCAUCUCAUGAGCAAUAUUUUCACGUGGCAUCGGCUCUGGUCAUAAAAUUGUGCUACAUGCUCAAUUGCUCUCCAUAUAGUGAUUGAAGUUGCCAACUAGCUAUGAAUAUAUCAAUGAGAAUUUUUUUUUUUUGAAGUGUGAGAAAGAGAAAGAAAGAGAGAGACUUACGAGUACAGCUUUGUGUGCAGGCAGGGGAGGCCCGUAGCAGGGUCUGAGAUGGAUAUCAGGAGGAGUUUGUUCUCUGAGUGAAGCAUCAAAUCCAUCGAGGAAUUCACAUUUCAUUCUCAUCAGUUCUUCAGUUUUCAUAACACGCCCAUGCUCUGUUGUUGGUGGGAACUAACAAAAGAAUAAACAUGUAUCAAUCAAUAUAUGGGCUAUAAUUUCAACUGUAAAUCAGUGUAAUUAUUAUAAUAGUGAAAUUGCCUUAUUACAAUCAUAUAUAUAUAUAUAUAUAUAUAUAAAGAAAGGGAGGACGAGACUGCUCCCAAACAAGAGUCCCUGGGGUCUAAGAGGAAUGGAUUUGUUUUCACAUUCCACGUAAAAGCAGCGAUCUCAUGCUUCAAAUUAUUAAGUUGGGGCAUGAAAUCCCAGCAUGGGUAGAUCGAGUUUCUCUCGAGCGGUCCGAGACCAGCCUUGACCGACGACCAUCCAUUGGAGGCGACUUCCAUGUCGGCUCCCAGAUCAAAAAUAUAUAUAAAUAUAAACAAACUAGAUUAGAAAACAAUACCUUGAAAAUGAGGUCUAGCGCACGUGAAGCAAGUGAGGAAUCGGCUGUAGUCCAUCUUUGUGGUAGCAGGAUGUCGCUGUCGCUGUCGUCGCUGUAUUCGAAGUCGUCGCCAAGAUUGACGGUGUCGUCGCCGCGAUUGUCGGCGGCUUGGCGCAGUGAGUCGCUAUCGUCGCUGUAUUCGAAGUCGUCGCCCAGAUUGACGGUGUCGUCGCCGCGAUUGUUUGUGGCUUGGUGCAGUGAGUCGCUAUCGUCGCUGUGAGGGGUUUGUACGUCCGUUGUCUGGUAGCCGUCUGGUCUUGCAUGCAUGGUAGUUUGGGCUUGCGCGUACUUGGGAAUUGGGAAAUUCAUAGGUUAUGAUUUUCUUUCUUUCUUUGGUUUUGUUUUACUGUCGUGGCCUUUUAUACAUGUUUUGUCUUGAGUUUUCGACCCCAUAUGUUUUUAGUAAUCCAUUUUGACCCAUAAAUUUUGGCUUUCUGAUGUUUAGCCCCUUCUCUAACUUGUUAAUCAUAAGUUAAUCCAAAAACCGGGCCGAGUGUACCGUUAUUUACGUUAGCGCUCCAUUAUCUUUCAGUUUCUUUAUCAAUUGAAGUACCAUGUUUCUUCCCCUUCCCCAGAUGGUAUUAGUACUAAUCAAUUGAGAAAAAAACAAAUAAAUUUUGGAUGGGAAAUUUCCGCCACUAUUUUCUUUUUUUUUUUGGGAAAUCCACGUAAUUUCUGUACAAUAAUUAUAUUAAAUUCUCAUUAUUUUACAAAAUUAAAAAUUAACAAAAUUUUCAUUAUUUUAUAAAAUUAUGAAUUAACAAUAAAUUUAAACAAUUUAGUCUUUUAACAAUCUUUAACUACUUAUGGUAUCUUUUUUUUUUUUUGAAACUAAACUACUUAUGGUAUCUUUACGAUAAGUUUAAUUUAGUUAUUUUAUCUUUGUAAUAUAAAAUCACUAAAUUAUCCUAAAAACAUGUAUCAUUCCUUGGGAAUGGAGGAAUUUAGGUCAGGUUCUUACUUCUUUUUGUUUUUUGAUAAAAGGUUGGGUUUUAUAUCUAUUUUUUUGACCCCAUCUAUUUUUGAUAAUCCAUUUUGACCCAUAUAGUUUAGCUUUCUGACGUUUAGCUGCUUCUCUAACUUGUUAAUUGAAAAUUAAUCAAUUCACUCUAAAAGCCAAGCCGAGUACACUAUUAUUUCCUUUAUGCGCUCUAUUAUCCUUCAGUUUCUUUAUCAUUUUUAUCUCAUAUAUAUGUAAAUUAUUAGCCUUUAGUUUCUUAAUCUUUUUUUUUUAGUUUUUGUCUUACAUUACAUAAUCUAAACGAAAAUUAUCAAGCAUCCAGUUUAAGUUCACCUUGUUGUAAAAAAAUACAAUAAAAAAUUAUUAGUGAUUCGUCAUAUUAAAAAUGCUGUUAAAUUUUGAAUUUGUUCAAGGGUGGAGCUAUUUGAACCCACCAAAAUACUCUCUCCACCCAUUUACUAAACCCACCCAUCACUAAAAUUUAAAAAUUAAUAUUUUACUAUACAACCCCCGUAAAUGUCAAACAUAUCCUCAUUUAAAUAAAUUAUUAUGAUAGCAUUUUCUUAAUAAAUAAAAAAGAAAAUGCGAAAAAAGCCCAUCCAUUCUCUUUUCUCCCGCUUUGUGGACCUCUCCCUCUCAAUUGAAAUCACAAGAACUCAACUGUAGAUGCAUUGGUGAGAGAACAAUUUGGCAUUUAAUUGAGCAUAUACAACAUAUUUAUUUUCUCUAGUGAUCAAAGCAAUUCAUAGAACUCGAAAGAGUAUAAGAAUAGCAAAUAGAGUUUCACCUCAUAUCUCUUAUUGUUGUUUAUUUAGUUAUAACAUCAUGAACAAAAAUAUAAAAUUAAUAGAAACCGUAACAAAUUGCAGGUUGGCGAAGAAUGCCGCCGGGGGGGGGGGGGGGGGGGGGGAGGGGGAAUCCUUGAAGCACAAUAAACAAUUAUUUUCCUAAAGGAGUGAACUUUUUAGCAACCAUUUUCUUUAAUUUCGUGAUUAAAUUCUUUUCGAUAAGUUGGUUUUGCUUCUCUAUGAUGAUAAAUUAAUUUAAUGUUGCAAAAAUUAGUGUUAGGGAUGGAUGAACAUGUCAGUUCUUGGUGGAGAUUUGUGUAAAAAGUAACUAAAAUAUUUUAUUUAAUGAUAUUAUCAUGUCUUUUUUGGUAAAUUACUAAAUAGGUAUUAUAGAAAUAAAAUUGAUUUAAAAAAGUGGGUGUUGAGAGUAUUUAGAUGGGUUCAAAUAGCUUCACCCUUUAUUCAAUAUUCUAUCCUAAAUUUAUAAUUUCUAUCAAAUGAAUGUUAACAGUUUUUUAUACUUGAUACAUCGUAAGGGUAAUUUAGACAUUUAACAUAUUAAUAAAAGAUAAAAUAAUAGUUUAAAAUAUAAAAAAAAACAUUAUUUUUCAUAAUCAAUAUUCAAUUGAAUACACUUAGCACUCUAAUUUCUUGCUUAAUUAAAAAAAAAUAUAAUUUUUCUUCACAAAUUUACAUCACCAUAUUUUAAAUUAUAUGUUAAGUCAUCUGUCAGAUAAUUGUGAUACAAAUUAUAUAUUUUUAUCCUGCACAAAGGAUCCAAUGAUCCCUCCAUUUGUGGGUUUGUCGUCAUCAGUGCUUGCCGCUUGCUUUUGCUUGAAAUAUCCUCACAUUGCUUCGCGAGCAAUGGCCUCUCCAACCCCAGCACAUUGUAAUAAUGUUACACUAUCAAACACAUAUUAUAUAUUCUAGUCAGUAAAGAUUCCAGGUAAGAAAACAAAUUAAAUAAUUACUUAAUACAAUUCUUGCUAUGAUUAUUUUUCUUGUUGAAAUUUAAUUGUUGGAUUUUGAUGCAAGAAGCUAGUAAAAGUUGCGACCAGACCGUAAGAAAGUCGUGUGCUGAAAAUCAAUAAAGCUGAUGCUAAAACAAAUGAACUUGAUUUUCUCAGGAAAAAGUUCAGCACUCGCGAGCUUUAAUAAUUUUUACCACUUUUCAUCUCUUCUUAGAUGCCUCUAUAGAGGACAUCACAAGAUCUACACAGGGCUUACAAAGGACAUCACAAGACCUACAAAGGACUCACAUAAUAUUCAUCUAAGUUGACAAUUCAGUUUGUAUAGGAGUGUUUGUAUAACUGUUUAUGGUUGUCUUGUUAUUGAUAUACUUAACCCAAAAUCAAUUAUUGUCAAUGUGGGAUAAUGUAUGAAUAUUUCUAACAAUAACGAAUAAGACCAAAUGUCCAAAUUUAGAUGACAUCCAGACAUGAAAGACUUUUUAGUGUUAUAUGUUGGGAUUAUGUGCUCUUUAAAGCACAUUGAUUUAUUUAUUUUUUAAUUAAUAAAAUAUUUAAGAUAUUUUACAAAAGUCUUAAUUGCAUAGAUAUUUUGAAUAAGGUCCAUUUAAUUAUAUUAUAUGUAUUUAUGCGAUCAUCAUAUGGAUUCACAGAAGACAUAAAUACAAGUUAUCUUAUGAUUAAAUAAAUUAAGUUCACAGUUGAUAAAUAGAGUUGGACGCUCUAUUUAUGUUUAGACUGUAGUAAAUUCAUUGAAUGAUUUGUUUUAAUCAUGUAUGAAUUUACUGACGUAGUUUGACUGCAUUGAACUGGAUCACAUAUGAAAUUUAAUUAACCUUGAAAUGACUAUCAUACUUAUUAAAUCUCAUAGGCAUUGAUUUUAUUGCAAUCUUAAUUUUGAGUUAAUUAUAGUUUCAUGUUUGUGAUUGUCAUUUCAUUUGAGUUACCAAUGGGCGCGACAUACAUUUGUAGUCAAGAUUACUCAGUAUCUUGGUGGAAGGAAUUAUGAGCAGUAAGAUUAUAAAUUAACAAUAUAGAAUUUGUACAACACAUCUUGACAGGUUUUCAGAACUUGAUCAUAGAAUUCUCUGGUCAGAGUAUGUCAACAUAAUUAGUAUGUUGAAAAUAAUCUUUAGAGAAAACCAACAAGUGUUAAGGAACAAGAUGUAAUUAAAUUGAUUGGACAGUUGAGAUAUCAAUUUAAUUAGCGAUGUGGUACAAAUGAUUGUUCAGUAAGGAAAUCAAUGUGGCAUUGAUCAAAUUAUUAUUCGAGAACAUUAUCCUAGAUAGCAUACAAUUAUAGAGGUUAGUUCCAAUCUUUUAGUGGAGUAGAUUUUGAAUUAAAUAAUUGGGCUAGUUUAAUUACAGACCUAAUUAUGGUUGCCACUAUUGUAUGUACCCAUAUGAUCCCCAGGUUAGCUCAUUUAAUUAACUGCACUACACUGGAUUAAUAAGCAAGAUAACUAGUUAUUAGGGUUAAAAGUCUAAAUAUAUUAUUUAGUGAGAGACUUCAUUUAAUAUACUUGUGUGUAAGGGGUCUUGUGUUAUUUUACAAGGUGGGCCCUUAUAACAAGAACAAGUAACGCCACUUUUGGUUUUUAUUUUUUUUAAGUUAAAUCAAAUUUGAUUUAAUAGAAUUAAAAAAAAAGAAUAUAAAAAUGGAGCCUAGGGUUUCGACCAAAUAAAGAUAUAAAAGGGCUUGUUUUCUCUAAAAGGAGAGAGUAGCCACAAUAUACAAAUCAGAGGAAAGAGUUUUUCUUUCUAACUUUGAGAGGAAAAAUUUUCUCUUGCUAGUUGCUUUUAGCAGUGGUAAAGGUACGCACAUGUCAAGUGCAGAUCUAACUUGAGUCAUAACCUGAAAGAUCAUUGGUGACAGAUCGUGAUCUAAUAAGAUUGGUGGUGAUGAAUCGUGAUAUGAGAGCCUGGAUUACUUCAACGAAAAAGGAAAGGUACAAUUUCUAGAUUAUGUUAAUUUUAUAUAUUGUAUAAGAAUUGUGAUCCAAAUAUUUCCGCUGCAAAAUAUUUUUUAACCCAACAAUUGGUAUCAGAGCAAUCUCAUAUUAAUAUAUAGAGUUACUAUAUGAAAUCAAUCUCUUGUAUUAUGUGUAUAAGAUGAGUGGCACAAAUUUUAUAUAUUAUUUCAUUAUGUUAAUGAAUAUAAUUAUUGAGCAUAAUGAAGGUUAUCUCAAUUCAUGGUUAGAUAUUUAUUUGUAUCAAUUUUAUGGAUUUGUAACAAGAGAGGUGGUCAAUUUUCACCAUAUUUUUCUCUUGAUUAUUUUAAUUUCUUGUUAUUAGAUUCUUAAUUUGAAAACCAUUUAUGGUAUAGGAGUUCUUGUAAAAAUUAUUUUUAUUAUAAAAUAAUGUAAAGAACCCGUGAAAACAAAGAAAAGUUGAUGGCGGCAAGGAGAAGAAGAAACGGCAGCUCCUCUGGAAUUGGCAGCCAAAAGCAUGAAGGGAUGGACGGUUUCUUUUGGAGCUUUUCAUGAGACACCCUAUUUUCUCACUAAUUUGUGUGUUCUGUCAAAGUUUGAAAUUUUGUAGCAUUUAAGUCCAACAAUAUAUGUUGGUGGCGACUGAAAGAAAAAUAAGUGAUUUAGGGUUUUGGGUUUAUACCCCAUGACACCCUACAGCUUCACUAUUUUAUGGUUCAGCCUAAGUAUUUUGGGUUUUAGGCUGAAAAAUUUAAAUUUAUUUAUAUUAGAUCCAAGCCCAUUAUUGGCUAUCAAUUGGAUAAUAUAAAUAGAAAUUUAAUAAGCUCAAUAGUUAUUAUUUGUCUAAAUUUAUUUAUAUUGUUCCCAAGCUCAUUUAAGGGAUUUCAAAAUUGGGUUAUAUAAAUGAAAAUUUAGUAGAUCAAUAAUCAAAUUUAUUUGGCUCAAGAAUUUUUGAAGAUAAAUUUCGGCUUAUUUUAUUAACAAAUUGGGUUAGGAUUUUAUAAAAAAAAGGUAUUUAAAAAUAAGACCCAAUAGAAUUUUUAUUUAAAAGGUGCCCAAAUUUAAAUUUAAAAAUUGAACCAAGGAUAAAUUUUAAAAGCCCAAAAGUCUCCAAGCAAUAGUUGUGGACAAGAGCAAUACAAGGAAAAGAAAGAAGAAAGGCCCAAUAGAUAUUAGGCUUAUAGAUUAAGUCGAUUUUUCUUAGGAAAACCAUGAAUUGUGAUUGUUUAAUUACUUUUAUCUAUAUGCUAUGUUUGGUUGAUAAUAUGCUAUGAUAACAUGUCAUAUAGAAUAGGAAGUGUCACUCUAUGCAUCAUAAUACUGGUAUCAUACAAUAUAUGCCAUCUAUAGAUUAUGAAUAUAUAUAUAUAUAUAUAUAUAUAUAUAUAUAUAUUGUUUGACAUUUGCAUGAACUUAAUAAUAUUAGAUUUCUUCUAGAUAAUAUUAUUUUCGGAAGCAUGCAAUUAACAAUAUAGGAUAUAAUAUGUAUAUGUUUGAAAGGAAAAACCAACUUUAAAAUAUUGAGUGGGAGAGGGGAAAUUCAAGAUAAUUUUUUCCACGGGCUCCAUUGUUAGUUCAAUAAUAAAAUUAUAUAUAUAUAUAUAUAUACACCUACAGUAUUGCUCAUACGGAGGGUAUAUAUAUUAAAUAUUUUAUUUAAUGAACUUCUUUACAGAUAAGAUCGAAAUAUUUUUCAAUCUUUUGAUCACCUUAACGAUGGCUGCAUGAUAUGAAAGACACGUAAAUUGAAACAAUAGUUAUACACUCAACAAAAAUUUGAUAUUAGCCUUCCCAACGAAGCUUUGUUAACAAAUUUUGGCCCUAAAAGAUAACAAUAAUUAUUUACAUGUUUCGACAUGAAAGUAAAUAAUCUAAUGAUUAAUUGGGUCUAUUAAGUGUAGGCAUGACUUCCCCAAUGGAUAGCUUACCAAAGCGAGAUUAGAUUAUCGUUACAAUAAAAUAAAAUACAUUUGUGAUUUUUUACAUUUUAGAUUAUUUAUUUUGAACAUUAUUUGUUUCAAAGUGUUUAUGCAUGUCUAUUUUAUUUUUCAGAAAAUGUCUUCCCUAAGCCUACUCACCAUUAUUCUGAGUCAAAACAAACUCACUAGCGAGAACUACAUAGAUUGGAAAUGAAAUCUAUUUAUAGUCCUAACUGCUGAAAAUUAUAAAUAUAUCUUAACCCAGCCAUGCCCUCCUGAACCAGUAAAGGACGCUAGUAGAAAUUAGAGGAGGCUUUAUGAGAAAUUGCAAAAAGCUAAUAAAAUGGUAAAAAGCUACAUUUUAGGCUCGAUUUCUAAUAUUCUGCAGACCAAACAUCAGAACAUGGAGACAGCCACUGAAAUAAUGGAAAGUCUCCAAGAGAUGUUUGGGCAGAAUACUCGCUCUGUGAGACAAGCGGCGCUGAAGAUGUUAUGAACUCCAAGAUAGGAAAUGGUACAAGAGUUCGUGAUUAUGUCCUGAAAAUGAUGGACUAUUUAAAUGAGGUUGAGAUUCAAGGUGCACAGAUCGAUGAUAAUUCAAAGAUUGACAUGGUGUUAGAAUCUCUGCCUGAAACAUUCAAGGAGUUUAAGGUAAAUUAUAAUAUGAAUAAAAGAAAUAUGACCUUAGCAGAAUUGAUAAAUGAACUUCAUUUGGCUGAAGAGAUUUAUCUUGUUGAAAAAUCUCAAGGAAGCAUUAACCUUAUUGAAAAAUGUACUUCUUCUAAGUUUAAGCCAAAAGGCAAAAAGAAGAAAGUUGGAAAAUAAAAAGAAAUCGUCUACUAGGAAAGAUGGCAAGCUGAAAGGCAAGUUCUUCAAGUAUGAUCAGAAGGGUCACUGGAAAAAUGAUUGCCCUAAGAUUGUGAAAUCAGGUAUGGAAAAUCUUUUAGUCAUAGAGACCUGUUUAGUUCAGAAUCGUGUUGAUACUUGGGUCCUGUAUUCUGAAGCAACUAAUCAUAUUUGUAAUUCACUUUCUUGGUUUCAGGAAAUCAGAAAACUAAGUGAAGGAAGCAUCAAGCUGCAGUUAGGGACAAGCCUGUUUGUGUCAGCAGUGAAGACUGAAUCUGUUUUAUUAUCUUUUAAUAAUGAGACUUUAGUUUUUAAUAUUUGUCUCUAUGUUUCAGACAUUAAGAGAAAUUUAAUUUUAGUAGCUUGUUUGUCAAAACAAUGGUACACUAUAAAUUUUAGUUCCUCUAUUUUUAUUUUGAAAAAUAAUAGACUAAUAUGUUCUGUUACAUUGGAAGAUAAUUUAUAUCAUUUAAGUCAUCUGAUCCAUUCUAUACAUGACACAAUGAUUGAAAAUAAUAAGCAUAUGCACUUAUCCAAGAAAAGAAAGAUUUUUUCUAACCAAUGUUACCUCUAGCAUUUGCGCUUAGGUCAUAUAAAACCUAAAUAGGAUAAAGAGAAUGAUCAAAGACAGACUUUUAAGUCUAUUGGAAAAUAAAUCAUUGCCACUCUGUGAACCUUAUUUAGAAGGAAAAAUGACCAAAAGGCCUUUCUCAGCUAAAGGAAUACGUGCAACAAUACCACUUGAAUUGGUACAUAUAGAUGUAUGUGGACCAAUCAAUGUACAAGAUUGACGAGGUUAUGAGUAUUUCAUCACAUUCACUGAUGAUUAUUCAACAUAGGGUUAUGUUUAUCUAAUGCAUCAUAAGUCUGAAGCUCUUGAAAAAUUCAAAGAGUAUAGGACUGCGACAAAAAAAUAAUUAGGUAAGAAUAUAAAGAAACUUCGAUAUGAUCGAGGUGGUAAAUAUUUCUUAGGAGAAUUCAAAGAGUAUCUGGUCGAAAAUGGGAUUAUAUCUCAACUAACAACUCUAGAAACACCACAACAAAAUGGUGUAGCUAAAAGAAUAAAUAGAACUCUUUUGGAUAUGGUGAGAUAUAUGCUUAGUUAUUCCAUAUUGUCUAUCUCAUUUUGGGGACUAGCACUAGAAAUAACAACAUACCUAUUGAACUUAGUCCCAUCUAAGUCAGUGCCUAGAACCCCAAUAGAGUUAUGCUUAGGUCAUAAACCAAGUUUGAAACAUAUCCAUAUUUGAGGUUCACCAGUACAUGUGCUAAAACCAAGGGCCGGCAAAAUGGAUUCACGUUUUGAAGUUUGUAUGUUUGUUGGGUAUCCCAAAAGAACAAAGGGAGGUUUAUUUUAUAGUCCUUAAGACAACAAAGUAAUUGUGAGUACACAUUUCACUUCUCUUGAGGAAGACUAUAUGAAUAACUUCAAACCUAGGAGUAAGGCAAUACUGGAAGAGUUAUCAAGAGAUCAUGUUGAUGCUAAGAUUUUGGUACCUGUUAAUCAACAAGAAGAAGAACAACAAUAUAAACAUCGCAACAUUAUCCUUAAAUAGCAACCACUUAUAGAACCUCGUCAUAGUGGGAUAACUAGAUUACCAAAACGGUACAUGUGUUGGUAAAUUUUUACUCAAUUGCUAUGGAUACUAAUGUGCAAGUGUACACAACAAGUAAUAAAGUGAUGAGUAUUUAAGAUCGUCUUCACAAGGAUUGAUGUUACUAGAAAUGCUAUAGCAACCACAAUAGUGCAAUCUACCUUUAUUUCAAGACGAAUAAAUUAAAGUGAGUACUACCUUAAUUAACAAUUGUAAGGAAAUAAAACAAAUAACUAUAGUAAGGAAAUAAAUUAGAUAAAUUGCGUGAAAGAAUCAAAUGAGAACGAGGUAGUUGAAUGAUCAAACUCUCUUCAUGGGUUGACUGCUUGUCAUCAAAUUAGUACCAGUUGCUACAACAAUUCCUACAGCACUGGGCAUAAUUAUUUUGCAUCCUCAGCUAUCGCGUGUUGGACUUCUCAUACCUUUAAAUAUCCUAACAAUGACCAGCUGCUAUUUUACCUAAGGCAUGACAUUAUGAACAUCCACUCUCUACCCUACAAGGUGAAUACCUAUGUCCAAGUCUUCACAAAUCUCAAUUUCAAGUAUAGCCCUUAGGGGAUUCAAGAUAAACUUAAUCCAGGAAACUCAAAUUAAGGUCAACUAUUACUCUAAUAAUAUCUACUAAGACAUGCACUUUUGUGGCUCUAUCUUAACUUGAACCAUUAAAUGGGUGGUCAACCGAAAUAACAGUUAUAAUAAUAGCUACUAGAGUAAAAUGCUACAGCAAUUAUAUAGCAACUCAUAAGAAUAGUCAAAAACCCAUUUAGAUUGUUUGUCACUCAACUACAAGCAAGUUUAGUUCAUACUUUGAAAAAGAAAAACAAACAGCAAAAUAUUGGUCACGAAAUACAUCGGUUCAAUCAAAGAGUAAAGAAAAGAAUAAGUAGAGAACGACAAAGAUUGAAUCCAAAUAACUCUGCUGGAUUCUUCACUGAUGCAAAAUCGGUUCCCUUGAAUUCUGAUUGUUUUCUUCUCUUUCUCUUGGUUUUUCCAAUGUUAAUUCCUUGCCAUCGUUUUAUGUGAUGCGUGCCUUUUUUUAUAACUGAAAAUUAUGGUAAACAAAAGCCUAGGGCGCGUAUGAGUCAGAUUAGGAAACUGCAGAUUGUAAUUCUGCAGAUAUCCCGCGCUCAGGUUUCUCUGUCGUUGUUUCGGGAUUGCUACAGCAAUGGGUACUCCAACAAUGGUUAUAGCACUGCACUGCUCCAAAUUUUGUUUCACUUCUUUUAUGGCCAUACUCUUCCUCAUUUUUGCUAGCCUACUACAUCAGCAUCCCUUCCAUGAAUUAUAAGCUUCUGAAAACCUACAAUUAUGCACAUGUUUUGAGCACGAAUUACUUUAAUUUAAGCAAAACUUAUUAAGACUAAACUAAAAUGAAUAUUUAUGCAAAACAUAACAAAAAUGUAAUAAAAACACGUCAUUUACUCUCUAAGUGAUCUUAUUUUAAGUCUAGAAUUGUCAUAAUAACUCUCAUUUCAUAGAGUUAUCAACAUGUUACUAGGAGAAACUUAUAUAACUAUCUUAGAUAGACAAGUACAAGAUCUCACUAGCUACAAUGAAGCUCUAUUAGAUGGAGAUGCUUAAUUAUGGAAAAACGCUAUGAACUAAGAAAUGGAAUCUAUGUAUUCCUAUAAAGUCUGGGAACUUGUAGAGGCACUAAAUGAGGGAAAAACUAUAGGGUGUAAGUGGAUCUACAAGAAAAAAAAAGAGAGUAAAUGGAAGGGUGAAAACAUUUAAAUCAAGAUUAGUAGCCAAAUAGUGUACUUAGCAAGAGGGAAUCAAUUAUGAGGAAACCUCUUCACUGGUUGCUAUGCUUAAAUCCAUUAGGAUUCUACUCUCCAUUACUGCAGUGCUGCAUUAUGAAAUUUAGAAAAUGGAUGUCAAAACUGCGGUUCUUAACAAGCAUCUUGAACAAGACAUCUAUAUACAACAGCCAGAUGGGUUCAUUAAAAAAAGCCAAGAACACAUGGUAUGUAAGUUGCAAAAAUCCAUUUAUGGAUUAAAGCAAGCAUCUCGGUCAUGGAACAUCAGAUUUGAUCAAACAAUUAAAACGUUUGGAUUCAUACAGAAUAUUGAUGAGCCAUUGUAUAUAAGAAAAUUGAGGGAAAAAUGGUAGUUUUUCUGGUUCUUUAUGUAGAUGACAUUCUCUUAAUUGGAAACGAUGUCGGAGUAUUACCAUCAAUAAAGAAUUGGUUGGCUAAACAGUUUGAUAUGAAAGACCUAAGAAAGGCAAGUUAUAUUCUUGAGAUCAAAUUGCUUUGAGAUCGGAAGAAUAAAACUUUAACCUUAUCCCAAACUGCUUACAUUGAUAAGAUACUAGCUAGAUUUGGCAUGAUAAAUUCUAAUACUGGUUUUUUACUAUUCAGGCAUGAAAUUACAUUCUCUAAGGAUCAGUCGCCUAAGACACCUGAGGAAAGAGAAAAAAUAAGGCGAGUUUCCUAUGCAAAAGCUGUGGGAAGUCUCAUGUAUGCUAUGCUAUGUACUAGACCAUACAUUUGUUUUAUAGUAGGGAUGGUCAGUAGAUAUCAAUCUAAUCCUGGUCUUGAACACUGGAUUGCAGUCAAGCAUAUAAUUAAGUAUAUGAAAAGAACUAAGAAUUAUAUACUUGUGUAUUCUGGUAAUGAUCUCAUUCUAUUGGAUUACACUGAUUCUGACUUCAUGUCAAAUAAAGAUUUUAGAAAAUCAACUUCCGGUUUUGUGUUUACAUUAGAAAGUGUAGCUGUGAGUUGGAGGAGGUGAAAUAAAGUUGUAUCGCAGAAGCCGUUUAGCUUCGUAAGUUCCUACAAGAUCUUGAGGUGGUACAUGUACCUCUUAAAUUAUUUUUUUAUAAUAGUGGUGCAGUGGCUCAGUCUAAGGAACCAAGAAACCAAAAAAAGCAAAAACAUGUAGAAAAGAAAUUCCAUCUCAUAAGAGAAAUAGUGCAGAGAGGUGAUGUAGAGGUUAACCAGAUUGCCUUAGAACAAAACCUGGCAAAUCCUUUUACAAAGGCAAUACCUGGGAAACUUUUUAACCUACACUUAGAAUGUAUGGGCAUGCAUGAGUUGCCACAUAUGCUUUGAGAGCUAGUGAGAGAUUGUUGGGAUUAUGUGCUCUUUAAAACAUAUUGAUUUAUUUAUUUUUUGAUUAAUAAAAUAUUUGAGAUAUUUUACAAAAUCUUAAUUGCAUAAAUAUUUUGAAUAAGGUCCAUUUAAUCAUAUUAUAUGUAUUUAUGUGAUUAUCAUAUGGAUUCACAGAAGACAUAAAUACAAGUUAUCUUAUGAUUAAAUAAAUUAAGUUCGCAGUUGAUAAAUAGAGUUGGGCGCUUUAUUUAUUUUUAAACUGUAGUAAAUUCAUUGAAUUGUUUGUCUUAAUCAUGUAUGAAUUUACUAAUAUAGUUUGACUACAUUAAACUGGAUCAUAUAUGAGAUUUAAUUAACCUUGAAAUGACUAUCAUACUUAUUAAAUCUCAUAGGCAUUGAUUUUAUUGCAAUUUUAAUCUUGAGUUAAUUAUAGUUUCAUGUUUGUGAUUAUCAUUUUAUUUGAGUUACCAAUGGGCGCGACAUACAUUUAUAGUCAAGAUUACCCGGUAUCUUGGUGGAUGGAAUUAUGAGCAGUGAGAUUAUAGAUUAACAAUAUAGAAUUUGUACAACACAUCUCUUGACGGGUUUUCAGUACUUGAUCAUAAAAUUCUUUAGCCAGAGUGUGUCAACAUAAUUAGUAUGUUGAAAAUGAUCAUGAAAGAAAACCAAUAACUGUUAAGAAAUAAGAUGUAAUUAAAUUGAUUGGGCAAUUGAGAUAUCAAUUUAAUCAGCGAUACGGUACAAAUGAUUAUUCAGUAAGGAAAUCAAUGUGGCAUGGGUCGAAUUAUUAUUGGAGAACACUAUCCUAGACAACAUACAAUUAUAGAGGUUAGUUCUAAUCUUUUAGUGGAGUAGAUUUGGAAUUAAAUAAUUGGGCUAGUUUAAUUAUAUGCCUAAUUAUGGUUGCCACUAUUGCAUGUACCCAUAUGAUCCCCAGGUUAGCUCAUUUAAUAUGCUUGUGUGUAAAGGGUCUUGUGUUAUUUUACAAGGUGGGCCCCUAUAACAAGAACAAGUAACGCCACUUUUGGUUUUAAUUUUUUUUUAAGUUAAAUCAAAUUUGAUUUAAUAGAAUUAAAAAAAAUAUAAAAAUGGAGCCUAUGUUUUCAACCAAAUAAAGAUAUAAAAGGGCUUGUUUUUUGUAAAAGGAGAGAGUAGCCAUAAUAUACAAAUCAGAGGAAAGAGGUUUUCGCUCUAGCUUUGAGAGGAAAUUUUUUCUCUUUCUAGUUGCUUUUAGCGAUGAUAAAGGUGCCCACACGUUAAGUGCAGAUUUAACUUGAGUCAUAACCUGGAAGAUCAUUGGUGACGGAUCGUGAUCUAACAAGAUUAGUGGUGACGAAUCGUGAUCUGAGAGCUUAGAUUACUUCAGCAAAAAAGUAAAGGUACAAUUUCUAGAUUAUGGUAAUUUUAUAUAUUGUAUAAGAAUUGCGAUCCAAAUAUUUCCGCUACAAAAUAUUUUUCAAACCAGCAAUAUCAACCUUAUGUAUGUUGUAGUUGUCUUUUGGGUGGGGCUAUUUGCAUCGUAAAUAUUACUUUGAAUACUCUAUUACUCUACACACUCAUACAUCAAUUAUAAAAAAUUAAGUUUUAGUUUGUAUACUCUUUAAAAUUUUAAAAAUAUCCUUACUUUGAUAGGUCCCAAUCAGAAACGUUCAACAAUGGCUAAGUAUGCGUUGUUCUUCUUAUGGUGAGAACGACCACAAAUAGUAAGUUGAGAUAAUUUUCUGGAUAAUCCUUUUAUUAAUUGCUGGACCUUAUUUAUAGUAGUUAAUACAAACACUACUAAUGAUUUGUAGCCACAACUCACGGCUAAAAUCAAUUUAAACAAUCUUAAAUAACAAACUAGAAACAUAAAUAGAAUCCCACUUGAUUUGAUUCUCCACACGACGUGGUAAUUUCCUUGCCUUGCUCCAACAAACAACUACUCUUUAUUCCAUACGUAAAUAAGUCUUGCAUGGUAUUGCAUGCAACAUGCAUGACCAUAUGCAUGGCUGCAUGAGACUCUUACGAAUGUUCAAACAAACCCCUCAUAUCUGGAGUUAGGCUUAUGGACCCUUGCUGACCUCCUUGAUUCUCUAUCAAUACCCCCUUCUGGAAGAUGACCCUUGUCCUCAAGGGUUAGAGACGGGAAUUGCUGUUUAAUUAACGCCGUAUCUUCCUAAGUAGCCUCCUUAUAUGGUAACCUCUUCCAUCGAACUAGACUUUGCUCAAUGAAUUUACCCCCUCUCUUAAGCCAUUGUGUGUCAACUAUAGAGUCAGGUUCAAGGAUAAUCACACCAUCAUCAUCAAUCGGAGGCAGCUCGUCGCUGUUAUGAGGGAAUUCACCGACCACCUUCUUGAGCAAAGAGACAUGGAAUACAGAAUGAAUUCGUGCUCCCUCUGGUAACUGUAACUUAUAAGCGACGGAACAUAUUUUCUCAAGUACCUGAUAAGGUCAAAAAAAUUUGCUGGCCAACUUCUGGUGUGCCCGUUUAAAGACAGAGUUUUGGCGGUAUGGCUGAAGUUUCAAGAAUACCAGAUCAUUUCUUUGGAAUUCAACAUCUCGCCGGUGCUUAUCCGCUACUUGUUUCAUUCGAUUUGCUGCCACUGCCAAAUUCUUUUUAAGUUUUGCUAGCAAUUCAUCUCUUGCUAAUAAGGCUUUAUCAACCUCAUGCACAGGCGAAGUGCCCAAAUGGUAUAUCGGUACGAUUGGUGGUUCUCUGCCAUAUAAUGCUUGAAAGGGCGUCAUGCCUGUGGACACGUGAUAGGUGGUGUUAUACCAGAAUUCGGCCCAUGGAAGAUACUCAUGCCACUUACGUGGCCAUUAAUGAACAAAACACCGUAAAUACUGCUCGAGGCAACGGUUGAUCACUUCUGUUUGACCGUCGAUUUGGGGAUGAUAGGCUGAACUCAUCUUCAGUUGUGUGCCUGACAUCUUAAAAAAUUCCUGCCAAAACUUGCUUAUGAAGAUUGGAUCCCGAUCACUAAUUAUAGACUUAGGCAUACCAUGCAAUUUCACAACUCCAUUAAUGAAUUUUUCCGCUACAGUUUUUACUGAGAAUGGAUGGGAUAAAGACGUAAAGUGGGCUGAUUUGCUGAGCCUAUCGACCACCACCAAGAUUGUAUUUUUGCCCUGUGAACACGGCAAGCCCUCAAUAAAGUCUAAUGUGAUGUCAUCCCAUACUUGACAAGGAAUGGGUAGCGGCUGAAGGAGUCCUGUUGGCUUGAGAGUUGUGGAUUUGGUGCGUUGGCAAGUCUCACACUUACUGACAUAUUCUUGAACCGAGUGAAACAUCGAAGGCCAAUAAAACUGUUGUGCCAAUCAUUUAUAUGUGCGUAAGACUCCCGAAUGACCUCCUACUCUUGUGUUGUGUGCCUCAAAUAAUAGUGCUUCACGUAACUUACAUGGAAUCACCACUUUUCCUUUAAAAAACAUUAAACCGUUCCAUGAGGAAUAUGGUCCUGCUGUUUGAUUUUGGGCAAGCUUAGCAAUCCUUCUCAUGUACCCAUCUUCCUUGGCAGCCGUUUUAAUUUCUUCCCAAAGAGUCACCUGCGGCACAAACAAGUAGUUAAGUAUAGGACUGUCUGGACGUCGUGAAAGAGCAUCUGCAGCGGCGUUGUUAGAGCCUGGACGAUAUUAAAUCUCAUACUCGUACCCCAUCAAUUUUGCCAGCCAUUUCUGUUGCUUGGGUGUAGCUCCUUUUUGUUCCAAAAAAUAUUUCAAACUCCGCUGAUCAGUUUUGAUUAUGAAUUUAUGUCCCAGUAUGUAUGGCCUCCACAUCCGAAUUGCUUCAAUAAUUGCAAGCAUCUCUUUGGCGUAAGUAGACCAUGAUUUUUUUGUUACUUCAAGGGCUCGACUCAUAAAAGCAAUGGGUUUCCCCUUUUGUUGCAGGACGACACCGAUUCAUUCCCCAGAGGCAUCUGUUUCGAUAUUAAAUGUGUCACUGAAAUCCGGCAUAGCUAACGUUGGUGUGCUAGUCAUGGCUUGUUUCAAUUUGUUGAAUGCUUCCUCUGCCUCCUCAUUCCAACCAAACUGUCCCUUCUUGAGUAAAUUGGUAAGGGGUCGAGCUAUCACGCCAUAGCCUUGUACGAACUUGCGGUAGUACCCGGUUAGGCCAAGGAACCCUCGCAACUCCGUUAUGGUUUGUGGUUUAGGCCAAGACAUCAUGACAACGAUCUUAUUUUCAUCUACCUUGACUCCAUGACAAGUUAUGAUAUGCCCAAGGUACUCCAACUCCUGUUGACCGAAUAUGUAUUUGCUGACUUUGACAAAGAACUUCUGUUGCUUUAGAAUCUCCAUAGCCUGUUUGACAUGUUCCAGAUGACAACUCCAAGAAGGGCUGUAAAUUAAUAUGUCAUAAAAAAAAACAAGAAUGAACUUCCUGAGAUAAGGCCGGAAUAUGGAAUUCAUUAUGGCUUGGAAAGUCGACGGCGCGUUGCAUAACCCAAACGGCAUCACCAAAUACUCGUAGUGUCCGUUGUGAGUGCGAAAUGGCGUCUUGUGAAUGUCUGGAGGAUUGACUCGAACCUGGUGGUAACCGGCCCGUAGAUCCAGCUUGGUAAAAUAGGCAGCCCCAUAUAAUUUGUCGAGCAUGUCAUCCACGGUGGGGAUGGGAAACCAAUCUUUAAUGGUGACUUCAUUGAGGGCUCGAUAGUCCGUGCAAAACCUCCAGCUUCCAUCUUUCUUUUUAACCAAUAAUACCGGUGAGGAAAAAGGGCUAGUGCUUGGCCUUAUUAAUCCCGAAUCUAACAUCUCCUGUACCUGUUUCUCAAUUUCCGCCUUUUGGAAGUAAGCAUAGCGGUAUGGCCUGACAUUGACGGGUUCGGUUCCUUCCUUAAGUGUGAUGCAGUGGUCGAUGUCUCGUUUAGGAGGUAGCUGUGUUGGUUCUUGGAAUAACUCAGCAUAAUCUGUCAAUAGCGUUUGCAUGCUUGCGGGUGCUGUAGGUUUUUCUGAUUCCAUGUGCAAACAUAUUGCAAAGUCUCAUGUCCCUGCCGAAUCUCCUUACUGAUCUCUGUCACAGAAGCUGUUUGUAAUGACUGAGGAUUGAUCCCUUGUAAAUGUCGUUGUUUAUUCUCCCAAUUGAAAGCCAUAGUAAGGGACUUCCAGUUGCACUCCACAGUUCCCAAUUGUUCAAGCCAUUGUAUUCCCAACACCAUGUCUAAUCCUGUUAUUGGCAAUGCGUAGACAGUUAACGAGAAAAGAAUUUCUUGGAUUAGAAUUUGUACCUUUUCAAACUUCCCUUGACACGUUAAUUUUUCCCCAUUUGCAACGCGGACUGAAAACGUUGCCGUGGGUUCAAUCGGUAAUUGAAGUAAGUUGGCUAGGCGUGUACUAAUGAAAUUAUGUGUAGAGCCACUGUCAAUUAACACCACAAUCUCAUAGGGCCCGAUCCUUGCCAUCACUCGCAUCGUUUAUGGUGCUGUCCAUCCUGUUAAGGCAUAAAAGGUAAUUUCGGGAUCAUCGGUUUCUUCUUGUUUAGUGCCUUGAAUGAUUUCACUAAUCUCCUCAGUAGUUUCUCUUGGUGUAGCUUCACUUUCCAAGAUCAAGAGUUGAGCCCUUGUACACUUAUGGCCUGUUGUAAAGUUAUCAUUGCAGUUAAAACAAAGGCCCUGUGCAUGCUGACGCUGCAUUUCCUCCCAUGACAAUCUCUUGUAAGGUAUGGCUGGUGAGUUUCGGUUGGUGACCGGCGGUGUUAUUGGUGCACGACUGUUGAAGGUUGGUCGUAUCAGUUUCUUUUAGCGUGUGAGUUGUUCAUCUUUCAUCCGAGCUAGGCUGAUUGCUUCCUUCAAUGUCUUUGGCCUGAACAUGCGUAUUUCUUCUGAGCUUUCAGGCUUGAGUCCACCCAUAAAAGUCCCUACCAACGCUCUCUGUGUCCAUCCAUGCACCCGGUUGCCUAAUCUUUCAAAUUCCUUUUGAUAGUCUCGGAGUGAACUGGUCUGUCUAACUUGUGAGAGCGCCUCAUCAAAAUCUUCACAUUCCGUCGGUCCAAAGUGAGCCCAUAGUUCUUCAACAAAGGCUUUCCAAGUUACUAAUUGUCCGUCUUCCUGGUAUGCCCUACGCAACCACUGCCACCACUGGUUGGCUUCGCCCUCGAGGUGAAAGGAUGCUAACACCACUCUUUGAUCAUCGGUUGUUUCCUGGUAAUCAAAAAAUUGGGUUACACGAUUAAACCACUCAGUGGGAUCAUCACCUGAGUAACGUGGAAAUUCAAGCUUCGCUAAUCUUGAUGGGAACUGUUGUCGUUCCCUGCCACUCUCUUCUCUUCUAGGCCGUGAUGAUGUUGCAUGCUCAUGAUGACUCAAUACUUCCUUAGAUGCACUAAUUGAGUCAGCCAAUUUGCUGAUCACUUCUUCCAAGUGAUGCAAUUUAUCGUUAAUGCCCAUCUCCAUCCGCUGCAUGCUAUCUUGCAUACUUCCGAGCUCUGCUUCAACACGUUCAAUUCGCUCAUUGUUCGUUGUCAUUGUUGAUCCUAUGCUCUGAUACCAAUGAUAGGUCCCAAUUAGAAAUGUUCAACAAUGGCUAAGUAUACGUUAUUCUUCUUAUGGUGAGAACGACCACGAAUAGUAAGUUGAGAUAAUUUUCUGGAUAAUCCUUUUAUUAAUGCUGGAGCUUAUUUAUAGUAGUUAAUACAAACACUACUAAUGAUUUGUAGCCACAACUCACGGCCAAAAUCAAUUUAAACAAUGUUAAAUAACAAACUAGAAACAUAAAUAGAAUCCCACUUGAUUUGAUUCUCCACACGAUCCGCAACGUGGCUUGACGUGGUAAUUUCCUUGCCUUGCUCCAACAAACAACUACUCUUUAUUCCAUACGUAAAUAAGUCUUGCAUGGUAUUGCAUGCAACAUGCAUGACCACAUUCAUGGCUGCAUGAGACUCUUACGAAUGUUCAAACAAACCCCUCAUAUCUGGAGUUAGGCUUAUGGACCCUUGCUGACCUCCUUGGUUCUCUAUCAUACUUAAACUAUUUAAGUUACCUAAACUUUAUCUGGCUACUAAUUUUAAGAGAUUUAACACAUACUUACAUGAAUAUAAUUAAUUUAAGCUGCAAACAAAUUAUUUAACAUAAUUUUAGUGAUUAAUUUUUUGUUUAUUUAUGUCUAAUAUUGAAUUUUGCAUCCAAAAUAACUUAUAAUGAUGACAUGAUAAUAUUUUAUAAAUAAUACCAAAAAAAUAAGGACAAAAAGAAAAAUAAGAAGAAGAAGAAGAGAAGAUGAAGAUGAAGAACAAAGGCCAAAGAAAAUUAAAAAAAAAAGUUAGUUUAUAGUACUUUUGUUUCAUUUUAUUUUUAACAAUAAAAAAUAUCACACAUACUUUGUAAUCAAAUUUUUCUCAAAAUUAAUUUCCACAUUGUUCAUUUGAAUAUUAUUUAAGAUGUUAGAAACAAUAGUUUUUAGGAUUUAAAAUAUGAGAAUUAUAAAUUGAAUAACGAUCAUUUUAUAAGGGUGCUCAAAGUAAUUAUAAAAGAUUGACUUACAAUAAAUUGUCCUUAAGAGUAAUUCAUAUAACAGGUGUUUUCAUAUUACAUAUUUUUAUUAAACCUGGAAUGUUCUGAGUAAUUUUUAAAAUGUAAAUAACUUAACCUUUGUUGAUUGAUUUAUUUAUUUAUUUAUUCGUGGUGAUGAUAGGCCUUGGACAAUGUUUUAGAAUUGAAAGUUUAUUUAAAGUAAGUAUAUAUGCACAUAGCUCAACAUGAUAGUCCUCCUCAAUAUCCAAUAAACAAAAUUUGUUAAUGUAUUGAUGGAGCUUCGCAAGGCAUAAUUAUCUUGACCGUGUAUUCUUAGGAGUUUUUGACUUUAAAAAGGAAAAACUCUUGUCAUGGUCAUGAUGAAUACCUCCCUAAUGAUACAUUAGUCAAUGCAUGGGGUUGUCUGGUACAUAUGCUCUCUUUAAGUUUUUCGCGAACAAGUCUUAAAUAAAACUUAAACCAUCACAUAACAUGCCAUUGAAUGAGAUGAGUAUAUCUGAUAACAUUUACCUAAGCAGUCUGUAAGAGAGAUUAUAAUAUUUUGAUGUUUGAAAUUUAGGGAGAAAACGGCUAGCCGAUUUUGAAGAAAACGGCUAAUCGUUUUCGUCCAGUAAACAUCUUUUUUGCUUCUACAAAACCGGCUAGCCAGAUUUUAAAUCUGGCAAACCGGUUGAUUCUAGUGAGCAUUCUGGACAAGAAACAACUAGCCAAAUUUAAGAACCGGUAAACCGGUUUCUUACAAAAAUACUCUCUGGACAAUAAAUGGCUAGUCGGAUUCAAAAACUGAUAAACCAGUUUUUUAUAGAAUGCUCACUGAACAAGAAACAUAUAUCCAGUUUUUGUAUAUUCGGCAAACCGGUUGUGAAUAAAUGCCAAUUUCAAACCAAAUGAUGUGUCUUUAAAGAAGUACCAUUUCGAAUGGUUGUAAAUUUUCAACAAAAAAUUACGUUUUCUUCAUUAAAUAGACACUCAUAUUAAUUCGAAAAUAUAGAUUAUUACAGAUUUCAUACAUGUACUUGGAAUACAAUCUUAUUUGCUAGAGAUUGUGUUCAGGAUUUGUUAUAUCUUGGGGGUAAUUUGCCAUUAAACUCUAUAGCAAACCAAUAGUGGUGAGGGCAAAUAAAACCUUAAAGGAAAGUGUGCAAACACGUCUCAAAUCCUGAUAAAUUUUAUUUUGUUCUUUGCCUCUAUAUUCGCAAAUUCUCCAACACAGUCAUCAUGUCCAAAUACCAGGCCGAGAUUUCUAGGAAAUGGGUACCCGUGGUACCUUGUGUGUAGUUGCUUUAAGAGCCUGUCAUCAAUUGAUAGCCCCAUUUCUCUUGCUCUACGCAUUGCCAUCUCUCUUUCAAUCAUCAGCUUUCUUCUCACCUCUUCUUCAGGCAGUCACCAGCGCUCAAUUUCUGUGGCAAUUAUUUCAUGCCUGAGCAUCUCCUUCACAAUGUCACGCUGGAAUGUGUAAAAGAGUCUUGGAUUGUUCAACAAAUCGAGGUCCAUUGAGUAGUUACAUGGAAAGAGAUUGUUUAUGUUAAUUAAAGAUGGCAAACUACGUUUUUUGAUUUCAAGUGCAAAAGCAUUUAAGGUUCUGAAGUAGAUUUUUCCAUAAAGCACAAAAGUUAAGGCAGCAUUUGGAUCACAAUUCGUAGCAAUUCUCAAAACUACGACAUUAUUGAAAGCAAACGUGUGUGUGUGUGUGUUCAAAUCUUGAAUUUUAAAGUAUGGGAACGUUCGGAAAAAUGUAUGAACCGUAUAGUUUAAGUGCUUUAAGUUUUAAGUCUUUAAAAUCCUAUCAGACUUUUCCUGCACUUUAAAAUUCUAAACAAAAAAAUUAUUCUCUCUUUAUAUAUAUCCUUUUAUUUUCCUUUUAUUUGUUUGUUUUCAGUAACCAUAUAGAGUAAAUGACGAUUGUGAGAGAGAUCUAAAAACGGACCUCUGAGAAGACGUAGAAGCAAAAGACCGAGACGGAGCCAAUCUGUCGUCAAUUCGUCCGAAUUUUAACUCCAUGGACUGUGAAAAGAAUGUGAGUGCGUUUUGCCUACGCGCAAUGUAACUUGUCGGCGAGCCUGUCAAGUGGGUUUUAGCUUGUCUGUAUGCCCAACAAAGACAAAUAAAAGAAUAUAUAAAUAUAUGCCACGUUUGCAAUUAGGAAGCUUGUGCUUUUUUCAAACCAUAAUAAUGAUUUUCCCCUUUAAGGCUUUAACUUAUUCGUGAUUCGUGAGGAAAGAAAUGAAUUUUGAAAAGGUCUCACAAACUAAAAUCAAUGGCGAACAUCUUGUCUCUUCACCCUCUCCCUUUCCUGCUUCUACUUCCAAGGUUGUUGGUACAAGUUUCAGUCCAUCUGUUUCCAUGCUUCAGUUGCCGAAAUUUGUUAAGCGGGGUGACUUGACUAUUAGGAAAUUGAUUGGUAAAGAAAGCCCACAACUAAAAUGAAAUUAGAAGAAAAUAAAAAACAAACACAAAGAGGACACUAGAAAUUACAUGGUUCGGAUUUUAGUCUAUAUCCACGUACAAAGAUAGAAGGUAAAUAUUUUACUAAUGAAAAAGGAAUUACAAGUAUUGUGGUAUUUUAGCUUACAACCCAAAAUCUCAAUACACCCAAACUCUCAAAUCACUAAUCACUCAAGAGUUUGUUAAAACUCCUAAAACACUCUCACUCAGCUCUUUUUCUUUACAAAAUAGAUAGGAAAAACUUGAAGAAAUGAAAUGAUUAAAAUCAGGAGGGAACUUCUCGAUUUAUAGCCAAAAUUUUGGCUUCUAUUCACCUCUUUUUUUUUUUAAACCACAUGGGUGGCACUUAAUUUUUUUUCUUCCUUUGAUUUUUCUUUCUUUUUCCUUCUUCAACAAAUGUUGGCAUUCAAAAUGAGUUGGCUUCUAGAAUUGUGGACUUCUAGAAUUUGCCAACUUUGACAUUCUCCCACUUGGAGAUUUGAUUGAGAAUCAAUCAAUUUCCACACCAUCUUUUCUGUUUCGCCAUUAUCAUGUUGCUUACAUUUCUGCUAAACCACAAGAGGAUCUACUCAAGAUAAACUUGUCCAUAUUGAUUGGCUUGGUCAAAACAUCUGUUAGGUUCUUUUUUGUAUGGUUUUUCUGCAAAUCCACACUUCCAUCUUCCACUACUUCUCGAACGAAGUGGUACUGAACUCCUAUGUGCUUUGUCCUGGAAUGAAAGGCUAGAUUCCCUGCAAUGUGCAAGGUACUCUAACUGUCACAAAACGCAGAAAUUUUCUCUUGUUUGUGCUCGAGCUCCUCUAAUAACCUUUGUAUCCAAAUAACUUUCUCGUAAGCUUGUGUAGCUGCCAUAUAUUCUGCUUCUGUUGUAGAUAAAGCCACAUUGGUCUACAGUUUUGAAACCUAGCUUACAACUCUUCUUAUAAGUGUAAACACAUAGCCAGUAGUGGAUUUCCUUUUAUUAAGGUCUCUUGUAAAAUCUGAAUCCACAUAGUCUUUGACAACAAAUUCUGAUAAUCUAUAACAUAAUACAACAUCCAAAGUUCCUCUUAUAUAUCUCAGGAUCCUCUUCACAGUUUUCCAAUGUUCUCCACCAGGAUUCGCCAUGUAUCGAUUGACUGCUCCCACUGCUUGUGCAAUGUUCGCUCUAGUACAAAUCAUAGCGAACAUUAAACUUCCCACUACUGAUGCAUACGGUACUUGAGACAUCUCCUUCCUCUCUGCUUCAUUGCUAGGACACAUACGGAGAAUAACUUGAAAUUAACAGAAAGUAGGGUAAAAAUUGGCUUACAAUCUUGCAUGUUGAAGUAUCUCAAGAUUUUCUUCAAGUAGUUUUCUGAGAAAGCCAACUCUUCCUAUUAUUUCUGUCUUGGUGAAUUUACAUCCCUAGAAUCUUAUUUGCUAGUCCCAAGUCCUUUAUUUCAAACUCCCUAGCCAACCGUGCCUUUAGUUCUUAGACUCAAUCUUUGUUAGGGAUUGUUACAAACGUGUCAUUCACAAACAACAACAAAAUAAUUAAAUCAUUAUCUUCAAACCUCUUGUAAUAUGCACAAUGGUGUGAACUGAGCCAGUUGUAUCUAAAGCUCAUGAUAAAGGAAUAAAAUCUUUUAUACCAACACCGCGAAGCCUGUUUAUGACUGUAUAGAGAUUUGUCCAACCUGCAAACCGAGUUCUCUUUACCCGUUUCAGUAAAAUCUUCUGGUUGGAGCAUAUAAAUUUCCUCUUCAAGUUCUCUAUGAAGAAAUGCAAUUUUCACAUCUAACUGCUCUAGAUGUAGGUCAAAUGUAGCACACAUUACCAAGACUACUCUGACUAUUAUGAGUCGAAUCACCGGAGAAAAUAUCUCAUUGAAGUCAAUACCUUCUUUAUGAACAUAUCCUUUCACCACUAAUCUUUCACGAUACCGCUCCAUUUGGUCAUUACUAUUAUGUUUGAACUUGUAAACCCAUUUGUUUCCAAUGGUUUUUCUUCCAUGUGGUAGUAGUACAAGUUCCCAUGUCUUAUUUUUGUGUUUAAAGAUUCAUGGAAAAUUGAUGGCUCUCCAUCCUUUGUUAGAAGACAGUAUGCAACAUUGAUCUCUGUGACAUACUCCGAGUGUCACGUUGGCGAUCGUCUCUCACGAGUUGACCGACGAACUUCUAGAGCCUCGUACUCGAUUGGUUCUUUUUCCUCAUACUCUAGUACUGCUUCAGAAGAAUCUAAAUCUUAUCUUUCCAGAUUAUUUUUCAUAUAUACCGGUACAGUCUCUGACUUUUACUUUUCUUUUACAAUGCUAUCAUCAUCAUCUCUCCUUUGCAGUUGAUCUUCUACUAAGAUAACAUCUCUACUGAUGACAAUCUUGUGCGCAGUGAGAUCCCAUAGACGAUACUCCUUUACUCCAUCAGCAUACCCCAAGAAGAUAUAUCUCCUAGAUUUGGAUAUAUUUUUGUUCUUUCUUGAGCAUUGUACAUCACGUAUACAGAACAUCCAAAUGCAUGUAGAUAAGAGUAAGCUUUCCAGUCCAUAUCUCCAUCGGUGUCUUCAAUUCAAUUACUGUAGAUAGUGAACGAUUUAUUAUAUAACAAGCAGUUUUGGCUACUUUUGCCUAGAAUAAGUUGGGUAGACCAACAGUCCUCAACAUAGCUCUUAUCCUUUCUGUAAAAGUCAUAUUCAUUCAUUCUGCCACUCCAUUUUAUUGAGGAGUAUAUGGCACCGUGAAUUGCCUCUGAAUACCUUUUUGCUUACGGAAAGUAAGAAACUUACUGUCUGUAUACUCUCCACUAUUGUUUGUCCUCAAGCACUUGAUAUUUUUACCAGAUUCAAGUUCCACCCGCGCUUUGUAUUAUUUAAACACUAGAAAUACAUCUGACUUUUUCUUGAUUGGAUACACCCAACAUUUCCUGGAAUAAUCAUCAAUAAAGUCACCAUGUACUUUGCACCUCCCAUGGAUAUGUCUGGUGAUUCCCAAACAUCAGAAUAAAUCAAGUCCAUAAUGCAUUUACUUAUGGCAACAGAUCUUCUGAACAUUAAUCUAUGCUACUUACUUGUAUCACAAUGCUUGUAAAAUGAUAAGUUUACCGAUUUGAGCCUCGGAAGAAAUUUUCGCUCAGAGAGAAUCUUCAAACCUUGUUCUGACAUGUGGCCAAGUUUGAGGUGCCACAUCAUCGUUGAUUUUUCUCCAUUUGAUGCGACAUACGCAUCAACUUCCUGUAGUGUUUCUUCUUUAAGCGUAAAUAAAUUAACACUGAUCUUUUCUGCCUUCAUCAAUACAAGUGCGCCUUUAAGCCUUUAACAAUCUUCAUAGUCUCAUUUUCAAUAUGGGUUUUACACCCAAGAUUAUCUAUUUGUCCUAAAGACAAUAGAUUAUUCUUCAAGCCUUUGACAUGUCGUAUCUCCUUAAUUGUGCGAACUGUACUAUCAAACAUUUUUAUUUUGAUAGUACCAAUACCAGCGAUCUCCAAAGCAUGAUCACCAUCCAUGUAUACGGAUCCUCCUGAGAUAGGUUCAUAUAUGUGGAACCAUUUUCUCUGAAAGGUCAUGUGUCAGGUAUCUUUUGAGUCUAUAAGUCAAACGUCAGAUAACCAUUAUCUGAUUUUUGAAACGGUUGUUGCCUCACUGUAGAGAAUUUCGCCAUCAUUCGAGGUACUUGAUACACACUCCUGAGCAUUUGAUGACUCAGGAUCAUUACUUUCUCUUCUCUUCUGGUUGUUCUAACACUCUUUCUUGACAUGCCAUUUCUUACCAUAGUUGUAGCAUUUGACGCUUUUCUUACUUCUUGAUUUUGAUUUACCAUGAUUGUGACUCCCAUUGGGGCUAUGUUCUGUUGAUCUCCCUCUCAUCACCGAUAGUGCUUCUAUUUGCUGCGAACUUGCUUGUCUGUAUUCCUUAUUUUUAUGUCUGCUCUCCUGGAAGCUGCAACAUUAUUAAAAACUAGACUAUCCGUUUGGUUGUUGUUCGUCAGAUUGAUGAUGAGUUGAUCAUACGAAUCUGAUAGACUCUGAAGUAGAAGCUUCGCACGUUCAUUUUCCUCUAUUUUAUGAUCCAACGUUGUGAGUAGAGUCUUUAAGGUAUUGAUGUGGUCGGUCGUCGAUGUUGAUUCUGCUAUUCGAAGAGUAUAAAGUCUCCUCUUUAAGAAGAUCUUAUUGUACAAUGACUUGGCCUCGUACAAUUUUAUGAGAGUAUUCCGUAUUUCCUUCACUGUUUUUUUCUCUACCACACUAGAUAAUACCUUGUUUGCAAGUGCCAAGUGUAGAUCAGCAAUUGCAUUGCCAUCCAUCUCGUUCCAUUUGACGUCAUCAGUCAUUUCCAUCGGUUUUUCUCCAAUUGUUACCAAGCAAUUAUUUUUCCUUAAUACAGCCUUCAUUUUCAUUUUCCACAACGAGAAAUUAUUUCCGUUGAACUUCUCAAUUUUGUAUUUUGCCGCCAUCGCUUUUCACUACAAACUAACUUUGCUAGGAUCGGCUCCCAUCAUUUUACUUGAACAAUAACUAUAUAUGUGAACAGUACCGUAUACGUGAAUAGUAAUUUUACGUAAACAAUACCCCAACUCCAAAAAAUAUAACUAGCAGCUCUGAUACCACUGUUAGCAAAUUGAUUAGUGAAGUAAGACCACAACUAAAAUGAAAUUAGAAGAAAAUAAAGAAUAAGCACAAAAAAGACACCAGAAAUUACAUAGUUCGUCUUUUAGCUUAUGUCCACAGGCGAAGACAAAAGUAAAAUAUUUUACUAGUGAAAAUGAAUUACAAAUAUUGUAGUAUUUUAGCUUACUACCCAAAAUCUCAAUACACCUAAACUCUCAAAUCAUUGAUCACUCAAGAGUUUGUUAAAACUCUUAAAACACUCUCACUUAGCUCUUUUUCUUUACAAAAUAGAGAAGAGAAACUUGAAGAAAUGGAAUGAUUAAAAUGAGGAGGGAACCUCUCUAUUUAUAGCCAAAAUUUUGGCUAGUAUUCACCUCUUUUUUUUUUUUAACCACAUGGGCGGCACCUAAUUUUUUCUUCCUUUGAUUUUUCUUUCUUCUUCUUUUUUCAACAAAUGUUGACAUUCAAAAUUUGGCUUCUAGAAUUGUGGACUUCUAGAAUUUGCCAACUUUGACAUCGACUUGUAUCAAAAUCACAGAAUCCAUUUACCAGCAGCGAUCGCAGAGAUGUCACACUAAUUUAAUUGGACGUUUGUUGCUACAUCCAGGGUCCACACCCCUCAAAACUAAUGAGCUUCAUCCAUUGCUUCAAGCUUUGUAGAAGACUAAAGCUACUUGGACUUUGGUCUCUUUGACUCGUGGAUACUUUGAGGUACAUUUAUCCAGUGAAGCAAACAUGAAAAUGGCUUGGAGUGGUGGUACUUGUUCCUUGCUUAGUGUUUUUUGUCUUUAUCAACGGAAAAAAACACUUUGAUCCCUAUGACCCUACGUUACACACACAUGCUCAAGUUUGAGUGCAUUUAUAUGGUUUGAGUAAAAAAUACUAGGACCUAAGAACUCUAUUGGAAAUUGCAUGUAGUAUAGGGGAUCCAUUACAACUUGAUAAACCAACCAAGAAAUGGAUUUUUGGACAUUUUGCCUGAGUUUUAGUUGACAUGGACUUUUUAGAAAACCCACUACCACAAAUAUUGGUUGAACGCGAGGAGUAUUCAUUUGAGAUAACUAUGUAUUAUAAGAACCUUCCUUCUCAGUGUCUUGUUUGUGGAUUUUUGGUCAUAAUGCCUCUAAUUGUCGCCGAAACCACAAGACAACCAAUGCCACCCAUGGCCUGCUAAAAACCUUUCUAAACGUGUUUUUCGACCACUUCAAAGUACAAAGGCUGUGCAAAAUCCAUCUCCAGAGGAGAUUGUUGAGAAAGCUACUGGUUGCAACAAUGCUUCCCCACCACAAUCUUCUAUAAAUCUUGCAAUUAUGUUUCAUAAGCCACCCUUACUAGUGGAUACUUCAUUUAGACAAUCUAAGAUUGAUCCAUCUACCUCAUAAACCUAUCGCCCUGAUAAUGAUGACCUUUUACGGGAUGACCUUCCCGAAGACGUUCCAAUGAAAAAUAAAUGGCCAACCAUUCCUUUAUGAUUCAUUCCAAAAAUCAGCUUGAGCCGCCUAUUGUGCCACCAAUUACUAUGGACCAAAUGACCAUGUCUCAUACUACAACAUCUUUGCUAUCUCGGGAAAUUCAAACAAUUGUUGAUUUUAUUAAAACUGCAUCACCAGUUGAUGGGGAGGUUUCCGAAUAGUACAUAAGCAUAAAAAAUGGAAAGUGCAUGCUCACUCUCUCCUGUCUGAGCCAUACUUCAUAAGAGGUAGUCGUCAGAAUAUGAAAAAAAUAAAGAUCUUAUUUUGGAAUGUGAGGGGUAUGGCCAACCCUAACACUCAAUCAGAAUUGGCUAAAUUAUGUUUUACAUAUAGUCCUGAUUAUCUUUGCACUUUUGAGCCUAUGGUUUCUUUGUCUUCGAUUCAUUCUACUUUUUGGAAUUCUAUUCGAAUGAAAUUUGUAUGCUCUAAUGACAGAGGUGACUUAGCUCCAAAUAUGCGGGUUUUUAGUGCUAUUCAUUUACUUUGGGUACCGUAGUUCAUUGCAUAUCUAUGCAAGUUUGUCUUGAUAAUUCUCCUUGUACUCUAUCUUUUGUGUAUACUGCCAUAAAUUACAUUAACAAGCGGGUUUUAUGGGAUGCUCUUAUUUCCUUUGUUGCUUCUUGUGACCAACCUUGGAUGGUCGUUGGAGACUUUAAUGCGAUUAUGGAGGCUCACUGAUAAUUCUAUAAAAUGAGAGUUAUCAUGAGAGUUUUAGGCUUAAAUCAAGACUACUUAGAGAGUAAUUAAUGUGUUUUACUGCACUUUAAUGUUAGUUUUCCUUACAUUCAUUUUAGUUUGAGUUUGAUAAAGUUUAUGUGAUUUUUGAAUAAUUGUAUGCCUAAAACAUAUGACUAAUUAUAGGUAAUUGGAAACUUGAAUUUUAUAGAAAGGAUGCUGUUGUAAUGGACUUAUAAAGGACAAACGAGCAUGGCUAUAGAAGAAUUAGAGCAAGUUUGGAACAGUGAGGAUGUUGUAGUCAUUGCUGUAGUAACUCUCGAGCAUUGACAGAAAAAUGCAGGCAAGAUAUUCAGAAUAUUGCAAUCUGCAGUUUCCUAAUUAGUGUGCCCUAAAAGUUUUCAGUUACCCUAAUUUGCGAUUAUAAAUGGAGGCGUACAUGAAAAAAAAAAUGGAAGAGGCUGCUAAUAAAAAUAAAAAACAGAAAAGAGAUAACAAAGAUACAUAAUUCCUGAUCAAAAUUCAAGGCUGCACCAGUAGAAGAACUUGCAGAAUCGAUUGGAAUAUGUUCUUUCUCUUUCUUUUCUUGUUUAAUUGUUAUUCAUUGAUCAUUGAAGAUGUAUUUGACAGCUAGAACUUGGUUAUUUAAAUACCUUUCACAAAUUAUAAACUAAAUUUAUUUGUGGUUGAGUGUUAAACUAGCUUGAUGGUUAAUUGACUGAAUAUAGCAUUUUGCUUUGAUAGUAUGUAUUUUAAGUCAUUAUUUCGGCUGACCACCCAUUUAAUGGUACAAGUUAGGAAAGAGCCACAAAGGGCCUAUCCUAGUGGAACAUAUCAGGGUAAUACUUGGUCUUGGAUUGAGUUUCCGGGAUUUAGUUUAACUUAAGUCCUAAAAGGGCCAUCCUUAAUCUAAGAUUAGUGAUGAACUAGAUGUAGGGAUUUACCUUAUAGGGUAAAAAGAACCUAAACGUGUAAUGCUAUAUCUUAGGUUGACAUAGUAACUGGUCACUAUUAGGUUGCAUUAAGAUAUAAGACAUCCAACAUACUAUCGCUAAGGAUAAAACUGGAUUCUGCCCAGUGCUGUAGUAGAUGCUGCAGCAACUGAACUUGACAUGAAUAAAACAGUCCAUACCAUUAAAAUAGUUUAAUCACUCAACUACUCCAUCCUUAUUGAUUCAACCUUUGUGUUUAACGUGCAAACUCUAUUCAUUGCAAUUUUUAUUUAUUGAGAUUUUAUUUUGCUAAGUUAUUUGAUAGUCUUCGUUGUGUUGACUUAACUUAAAACAUAGAUUGCACUACUGAAAUUAUUGUAGCACAUCUGAUAGCAUCAAUUCUUAUGGAGAUGAUCUUGAAUACUCAUCAUUUUAUUACUUGUUGUGUACACUUGCACAUUGACACCAUAGCAAUUGAAGUAAAAUUUACAACACUCACAAAAGGGCCAGUGGUAAUUCUCCUUCCAUUAUUUCUUGUUCAGUUUUUCUAAUAUGAUCAAUGCGUGCUGUCUAACCCAUCUCUCAAUUGAAGGGAACUUUUUACCUAGUGUAACAAUUCAAAUAAAGGAAUUGAACAAAGAUUAGACAAGGCUCUAUUCAACCUUACUUUCUAUGAUGCUUGGCCUAAUAAUAAAAGCCUUAUUUUACCUUGUUUAUGCUCAGAUCACAAUGCUUUGCUUUUUUUUGUUUUCCUAUUAAUAACCUCAGUCCACGGCUAUUCUGAUUCCACUCAGUUUGGAUUGAACAUCUAAAUUUUGAGAAAGUUGUUAAAGAUGUCUGGCAUUCGACAAACUUUUCUAAUCCUAUGCGGUCUAUCUUAUCAAAACUGUGAGCCUUGAAAAUUGCUUUACAAUCUUGGAAUGGAGCGAUUUUUAGUAAUAUUCAUGCCCGUCUUGAUAACACUAGGGCCAAUAUUUCUGCAGUUUAGUGUUCUAUUUCUAGUGGUGGCAAUUCAGAGAAACUUUAUAAUGAUGAGGUGGCAACUAAACUGGAACUUCUUCAGCAGUACGUAAUCAAUCUAUUUUUUUAAAGGAGACAGCUAGAGUUAGACAGCUGACUGAUGGUGAUCGAUGCACAAAGGUUUUCCACACCUAUUGUAGAAUGAAGAUGGCUCGCUCUUCCAUUAAUAGUUUGCUCAUUGAUGGUGCUCUAAACUCUAAUCCUUGAAGAUCUCCGACCACUUGGCUUCCUAUUAUGUCAAGCUUUAUUCAGCAGCUCCUAGUGUGGAUGAUCCAAAAACAGGUUGUUUGACGAUCCCUCAUAUGGUCUUUGAGAUUGAUAAUGUUGUUUUAACUGCAGUGCCUUCUGCAUCAGAAAUCAAAGAUAUUGUCUUUGCCAUGGACCCGAACAGUGCCCCUGGUCCAAAUGGUUUUUGUUAACAUAAAUAUGUUAAUAAUAUUGAUUUUGAUGAUAACAAAUUUUAAAUGGUUUUUGAUAAAAAUAUUGGAGCUAUUUCUUAAUAAACGAGAGUCUUAGUAAUCAUUCCAUUCAUGCUUCAUAAAAGAUGGACUUUCAAAUUAGAAAAAGAUUCUCUGCAAAAACUGGUUUAAAAUGCAAUUUUGGUUAUAAACGGUAAACCGUUUAUUUAAACGGUUAACCGAUAACAGCCAGAGAGCAACAUAUUUCCUAAACCUCUAACCGUUUAUGAAAAACGGAAAACACAAAAGAUGGGAAGGUUACUGGAACUUGACGGUGAACCGUUUAUUUAAACGGUUAACCGAUUAACACCAGAGAGCAACAUAUUGCCUAAAGCUCUAACCGUUUAUGAAAAACAGAAAUCACCAAGAAUGGAAAGGCUACUGGAAUUUAACAGUGAACUGUUUAUUUUAAACGGUUAACCGAUAACGUCCAGAAUUGAAGGUUGUCCUCCUCUGGCACUGAUUAACAAAAACUGAUAAGGCUAAAUUGUUUUGCAAGUUACUGGAGCCAAACGGCUAACCGUUUAUUACAAACGGUUAACCGAUAAUAUCCAGAAAAGUUACUUCACGCAAGUCCUUAACCGUUUAGUGUAAACGGAUAUCUAAUGCUCAUCUUGCAGGUCUCUGGAAGUUAACGGCGAAAGGGUAAUCCCAAACGGCAAACCGUUUAUUUAAAAUCUGGCCCAACGGUAACUUUGACCAACCGAAACGGUUAACCAUUUAGGGUUAACGGCGAGCCGUUUUAUGUCCGACAGUUUGUAACGGCUAGAUUUUCAGCUCCAUAUAUAAAUAAGCUCAUUCAAAUUCAAAGAAGAUUGAUCAUAACACUACCUCUGAGCUUUAUCCGCGAAUACAAUCUUCAUAGAGCUUUAAACUCACUCUCUUUUCAUCUAUUCACACAUUGGGCAUUGAUUUGUAAUCUUAGAUAUUGUGUGAGAGAAAAACAAUUUGUAAUCUUUUACUUUGAGUGAUUGUAAGUGUUGGGAUACACUUGGGUUAAGAGAUUGGGGAUAAUCUCUUGUUGUAAAGGUUUAUUGACACCUUGGAAGUCAAGUGUAAGCAUUUGAAGCCUUGAAGGCCUGCUUAGUGGAAUCCUCAAGCCUGGAAAGCUUGGAGGCGUGGACGUAGGCGAGGUUGGCCGAACCACGUAAAAAUCUCUGUGUUUGAAUUUCUCUUCCCUUAUCUUUUUAUAUUGUGAUCAACUUAAUUAUUAUUGCUUUGAAUUUGGAGUGUAUUUGCAUUAAGUUUUUCUUUAUAUUGAAUAAUUUUUUAGAAUCCCAAUUCAUCCCCCCUCUUGGAUUGCAUACUUGUAUUUCAGUUUUUUGGGUCUUUUUUAUCAGCAUUGUUGGCAUAUUAAUUCUCCUGAUGUUGUUCGUUUUGUCCAAUAUUUUUCACCACUGACGAGUUACCUCAAAAUUUUAACUCGAAUUUUUUUGUGUUAAUUCCAAAAGACGAUGGUGCAAUUGAGGUUUCUAAGUUUCGCCCAAUAACUCUUGCGAACUUACUCCUCAAAAUUAUUAUAAAGAUUGUGGCAGACAGGUUGGGUACAUUUAUCGCAAAAAUUAUUUCUCGUCAACAGACUGGUUUUGUGAAAAGGCAUUGUAUCUCUAACUCUUUUGGUUUAGUUUUUGAGGCAUAGAAUCUUCUUGAUUGAUGGAUUUAAGUUGGUAAUAUGGGGUUGAAAUUGGAUAUCACAAAGGCCUUCAAUACAAUUAAGUGGGGUUUCUUUUCCAGGUCUUAAAGAAUUUGGUUUUUCAUCACAGUUUAUUUCUUGGGUCUUUAUUUUAUUGCACUUUGCUCGCAUAUCCAUUCUUGUUAAUAGCUCUCCAAGGGGUUUUUUCAACUGCAACAGAGGAGUGAGGCAAGGUGAUCCUUUGUCCCCCUGCUUUUUUGCUUGGCAGAGAAGUCCCUUAGCAAAGGCAUUCUUAACUUACGAGAGCAAGGCUUAAUCCGUGGUAUCUCUUCUCCAAGACCAAGUUCUCUUCCAAGUCAUGCACUGUAUGCGGAUGAUAUCUUUAUUUUUGUUCGUGGUGAUUAUAAUUCUCUCUCGAGUUUGAUGGGAUUUUUAGAGUGUUAUAGUCGCGCUUUUGGUCAAGUGAUUUUGGUUAUUUAUCAGCUCGUAUAUGAGUCACAGGAUCAAUUUUUUAUAACAGCAUAUUAAUUAAUUAAUUAUAAUAACAAAACUAUAUUAUUGUUGUGAUUGUUUAUUCAAAAACUAUAAUUAAUAAUAUAUUAUAGUUAAUAACGUAUUAAUAAAUGAAUUAAUUAUAAUAAUUAUAAUAAUAGUAUAUUAAUUCAUUAAUUAUUAUAAUAUAUUAAUUAUUUUGAUUAUUUAUUCAAAAAUUAUAAUUAUUAAUAAUUAUUGUUAAUAAUGUAUCAAUAUAUUAAUUAAUUAUAGACAAGGAUAAAGUUGGUAUUUUUAAUUUUAGGGAGGGACAAAAUGGUUAAUCCUAGAAAUGAGAGACUAUUCCCACCCCCUCCCUUGGGAAUGAGUCUCCCAUUUCUCAUUCUCAAAUUGUGGUGGAUCCCACAAUUCUGAUUCCGAUUCCGGAUUCAAUUUUACAAAUAGACACUGUCAACAAUUCCAAUUCCUUAAUCCGUGAAGUAAUCGCAAUAUUAUUGUCUACUCACAAACAAUGAACAUAAAGGUUUCCAUGAAGUGAAAAUGUGAAUUAAAGCAUGUGCAAUAUUCCUGUUAUUAUUUUUCCUGAUUUUGCUUUAAUGAUCAUGUUCAACUGAUGAUAAUCUUCAUUUGAACAAAAUUUAGCAAAGUUCUAAUCAAUUUUAUAACUCUUAACCUUUAUCUUUCUUAGGAUUUGAUUUCGAGUAUUAUUCAAAUAAAAUCGUUGGAGAAUCAUUCAAAUAUACCUAGUAGUGUAAUCAGGAACUUGAAUUAACAUUAACAAACUUUUAAAAAUGUUUAAGACAAAAUUUUAAAAAUGUUUGAGACAAAUUUUUAAGAAUUUGAUACUUCAAUUCUCACCUUGAUUAUUUAUUAUAUUAAAUUGAUGUAGACAUUAUAAAAUAUCUACACUUAAUUUCUUGUGUUUUGUUGGUUAGUAAAUUAAAACCACCAUUUGUCCCACGUUUAAUAAUUAGGAUCCUAGAAGUUAAACAUAAUUGUUUAUUUAUGAAUAACACCAAGCAUUAGGCAUUUUUUUUUAAUCGAAGCAAAUGAAACAAUUUUUUUAAAAAUUAAUUUUUACAUGCCCAUGAAGUCAACUCCACCUCGUUUCUUACUUUUUAGUUCCUUUCAUGAGAUUUGAAUAAGGUGGGCAAGAAAGCUCUGGUUGACCUGACCCAUGCCCUCAGGCUUUUGAGCCGGCCCUCUACAUGAGGGCCUGGACAUAGGUUAAAUAUUUUAAGGUCUGCUGUGAAUUGGCCUAAUUAAAAGCUUAUGGAAAAAGUCUGGACUAGACCUGGACUUUAUAAUUUAUAAAUUAGAAAAGAAAAUUAAAUUAAAAAAAAAAAAUUCAAGUGAUUAAUUUUUUUGUUUGUCACGUUGUAUUGUUCGUAUUAUAUAUUAGAUAAUCAUCUUUAAUUUUAAUAUUUUUUAACUUUUCGCUUUAUUAAAAAUUUAUUUAAAAAAUUAAUAGAAGCCUAAGUCCAGCUUAGGUCCAUGAAGGCCCAACCCAGACAUGGUUCCUCUAAACUUGGACAAGUUUUCAAAAAACUUAGACCUGUUAUCAAUAAUGUAAGCAUGGUACUGGGCUUGAAAAAUGCCAACCCAAGCCUGUAAUUUAGCAUCCCUAGGUUUGAAUAUUUGUGCCAUCUUUUCAAGACUAUCUCAAAGUCUUGUUUUACGUGGUCACAUGGCUAUAGGAACAAUAAUAUAAAGUGAGUCUCCCUCUUCCAAAGUUACAUUUUAAAAAAAUUUAUCGGUUGGUAAAUGUAGUUGUUAUUUAUUUUUAAAUUAUUUUAUCUAAUUAUAAGUUAUGAAUUUUUUUUUAUGUAUAAUUAUAAUUGUAGUAGUAGUAACAAUAACAACAACAACAAAAAACAAUGACAGCAGCAGGAGCAGCAACAACAACAACAGCAUGAGCAGCAACAACAACAGUUAUUAUUAUUAGAAUAAUAAUAAAAAUGAUUAUAAUAAUAAUCAGUAAGGGUGUUUAAUAAUUUAUAAUAAUUUAUUUUGGUUUUUCGAUAAAGUAAAUACAUUAAGAUGAAUAUAACUUAUUCCAGUUCUAAUUCAUAUUGUUUAGGUAAAAUCUUAUCUUAAUUCUCAUUUGUUAUUUCAAUUCCAGACCAUUCUAAUUACUGCAAAAUAAAUGUACCGUAAAUGUAAUUUUGAAAAGCUCAUAUAUUAUACUUAAAUUGUUCUGUAGCUUUUCUCGAAUGACAGCAAACUUAGCAAAAUCUGGUCCAAUCGCUGCCACUAAAUGAAAUCGAUUUUGAACUUCACUGAAAUUAGGGUUGGGCAUUGAAUCAAAUUCGAAUAGAUCCAAUCCAAUGUUGGAUUGGAUUUGAAUAUUGCCCAAUAUCCGAUUGAAUAUAAUCUGUGCCAUCUAAUUGGAUUUGCUUUGAAUCAAAUUUGAUUCAGCUUGGUCCGAACAAUCCAAUUGGACUGUAGUACUUACUAAAAAUUUAGAAAAAUUCAAAUAUAAAUAAUUAAAUAUAAAAUCAAUAAAAUCCAAAAUAGUUUGAUCCAAAAUACCAUAUGAAUAUGAAAUAUCAUCCAAAUCCGAACUCAUCCGAACUUGAAUUCAUUCAAAUAUUCAUCUUAUUUGAAUCUAAUUCAAUUUAUUUCAAAGCGGAUCGGAUUAGAUUUAGAUGUUUUUUUUCCUCAAUUUGAACAAUUCAAAAUCUGAUCUGAUUCAUCUGAAUUUGAAGUUACGUUGCUGAAAUUUUAAGACAAAUGAGUAAUUUUAAGAUUUUUUCUUUUUCUUUUUUUUGUUUUUGCUCAUUGUGAGCCCAAUGACAAAUAUAUACAAGUGUUUGAAAUUGCAUAUAUAUCUAGAAAACAUUACGACCAAAGUAAGGAUGGCAAAAUACGGGUCCGAGUUCAAGUUCAGUCUUCCCAGUUCCAGACCCGUAUACUAAUUUGUCUUACUGGAUUCGGAUAAAAACCCAGAUUUUUUUACUGUGGGUCUGGUGUAGGUUCAAUUCGGAAAAAGUCUGGGUUUCCGAAUUCCAAAUUCCAAAUUUUAAACCCGGAUUGUUGGAUGAAGGCCGAAAUAUGAAUUCUCCAUGCAUGCCACUUUUGGCUCUUUGGAAUUUGCAGAAACAGUAAAAGGUAGAACAAAUUCAUGAGAUCUCAACUAAACUUGCUUACACCAAUAAUAAAGUUUACAAUUAUAUUGAGAUUAUGUGUUUAAAUUUUGUAUUUGGCAAUUCACAACAACAAAAACUUCAAUAAUUACCGAAGCCUCGACGAAAAGAGGUUAGCGGUUUCUUUGAGAUGUUGGCUGAGGCACCAGCGAGUCCAGGAGACGGCAGCCAUGAGAGCGGCAAGCAGAGUCCGAGAUCCAACAUCCACAAAGAUGAUAGGUACCUUCCGAUCACUUGGUUGAUGAUGAUGGAUGAUGAAUGGUGGCAAAGCUUGGUUGUUGCUCUUAAUGUUUUAAAUUGUUGUUGCUCUUGAUGAUGAAUUGACGAUGAUGGAUGGAUGAUGAAUUGAUGUUGAGGAUAAGGAAGAUAGAGGUGGCGGCUAGUGUGGGGCUUUAGGGUUUGUUAUGUGUUUUUGUUUUUGUUUUUUAUAAUUUUUUGCUUUUAUAUUUAUAUUUAGGGUUAAUUUUGUCCUGCACCCAACUGUUUCAACAUUUUUCGCCACGCACCCAUAUGUUUCGAAAAUACUCACUCCACACCCAAUUCCGUUAAUUUGACCGUUUAUUCUAACGGUCAAAGGGCAAAUUUGAAAAUUCAUAUCCUAAAUAUUAUUUGAUGAUGAUAAAUUAAAUUUAUUUGAUAAUUUAAUUGAUGAAAUUAUUAUUAAUUACCUUUAAAUAAAAUUUUUUAAUGUAAACAUUAAUUAUUAAAUUAACAUUUUAUCUCAUUUUAUCUCAUUUUAUUUUUCUCUAAUUCAAGAUAAGGGGUAUUUCGGAUAUUUACUUAAAUUUCAAAUAGUUCCGUUAAACAUAUCGGUCAUAUUAACGGAAUUGGGUGUGGAGUGAGUAUUUUCGAAACAUAUGGGUGCGUAGCGAAAAAUAUUGAAACAAUUGGGGGCAGGACAAAAUUAACCCUUAUAUUUAACAAUAAAAAUUAAUUAAUUAUAAAAUAUUGUAGUCCGGGUCCUGGUUCCGGAUAUUCGAAUUUAGUUAAACCCAUAACCGGACCCAGAUACAUCCGGGUUCUUGAAAAGGCUUCCAGAUUCUGCACUUUCAUACAUCCGGAUCUGGGUUCAACCUGCGCUGAAUCAUCCUGGUCCGGGCUGGAUUCGGAAAAAUUUGCUAUCCCUAAACCAGAGAUAAGUUGGGUGCAUGAAUAUUACAAGCUUGUUAAUCCUAAUGAACAGUCAGUAGUUCAAAUAUAAAACACUAGAGGGGCCUGUUUGAUAAUAGUUGAAAUAAUCAAAACAGGACAAACCAGAGGUUUUUCUCAGGGUACCGCAAGCCAAAUGAAGUUAAUUGAAGGCCAGCAGAAACUUUGGAAUGUCAAAACGAUGAUGUUUUGACAGACACAACAAAAAUGUGAACACUUUUUAACAGACUCACCAACUGUUUCUCAAUUUAAUAUCGUAUGAUAAAUAAAUUAAUUAAAUAAUGAUGAUCCUCAGCCUCAGCCUCAGCCUCUUAUCCACGCACCCAAUCUCCGGCCGCCACGUGGGCAGCACCACCACCCACCUCCUCCCCAUAAGCCCACGUGUUUUCCGAGGGUCGAUAUCGUUUUGGCCUGCCCGUGUGUCAUUGGCUCCGCAAACGCUGAGGUUUCGGGUCAGCGCCGCUGCCGGACUUGGCCACCUGUUGCAUGAUGCUGGAGCUACUGCCGCUGUACUCGUCGGUGCUUACGGUCUUGUUUUGAGUUUUGAUAAUCUCUCUCAGAGAAAGCUUAUUCAACCGGUUCAU
rnacentral:lncRNA from 1 species